rnacentral:lncRNA from 1 species
GAGAUGAAAUUCGAGGACUCAAAGGAUGGAGGAUGUGUCCUCAAGAUCACCAGUGAGUAUCAUUCAAAGGGUGAUGUUGUACCUAAAGAAGAGGAUAUUAAAGCAGCUCAGGAACAUACUAUGGGACUCUACAAGUCUUGUGCAGAUUACCUGAUUGCCAAUCCUCAUGUUUGUGUCUAAAUAAUUUCUAGUUAUAUUUCCGAUUUUCAAUAUUUCCUUAAUAAAGAACUUUGUUCUACUCUUCCAUUGAAGUUUGUUCUUAUCCAACUGUUAUCAAAAUUUACGGUACAACAUUAAGAUGAAUUUUUAGCAAGGUUCAGGUCUUUGCCUUAAUAAAGCGAAUUUGUUUGUUUAUUUCCAUCCACAUCUAUUUAUUCCUAUUUCAUGUCGAAUUUUCAAUGAAUAGUGCCAAAUUUCAUCAAAUUACAUGUGAGCUUGCUAUUUAUAUCUGUUUCAUUGCACGUAAAUUUCAGUUGCAAAGAAAUUUUAUCUAGAUAUGGAGUAAUUAAAACUUCCAUUUGAUAUUGCAAAGGUGAAAAAGGCAAAUCAAUUUGAUAUAAGUUGGAAAAAAAAAACCACCAAAACCAUAGGAAUGCAUUUUCAAUGGAAUUGGCCAAAAACAUGUUUUAAGUGUUUGUAACCUGGAAUUCAAACUCCAUUUUCACUUUCGUAUCAAAUAGGCAAAAUAGAAAACGAAUUCCUCGGAAAUGCCAUUUUCCAUUGAAUUGAAGUCAAUCAAACGGAGCCUAGGACCCCCUUAAUAAUUACCUGAUCCAAGAAAUCAACGAGGAUAAAAAAAGCUGUGGAAUAGUUAUAUCUAACUUUUGUACAUUGGAUUUUUUGCAUAAUUAAUUGAAGUUACUUUUAGGGCCUGUUUGAUAACAAAGAUGAAAUUUGGAUGAAGAGAAAACGAAUUUUAGGGAGUUAAAUUGUCUAGAAAGUAUUUUACUGGAAAUUGUCAAUUAUUAUGUUUGAUUGGUAUAAUUUUUCAUGUUGAAAAUGUUGAAAUAAAAAUAUUCUUUGGUAUUUGUCUGGCUUUGUUUAACAUGAGAAUUGUUAAUUAAAUUAAUAGAAUUUACUGAUAUAGGGGAUAAAAUUUGUUUCCAUUGUCAAAAAAAAAAGACAAGAAAAUCAUCUAUCUUUUAGUGUUCGUUUGACUUUGUUUUAUAUGGAAAUUGUUAAUUAAAGGAAUUUUUUUUUAACACAAUUAGGGAUAGAAUUUGUUUCCAUUGUCAAAAAAAUUAAAAAAAAUAAAAGCAACCAAAAAAACCAAUUCCCAACUAACCCAAGGAAAUACAAAUUCCUCAUUUUCGUGGAAAAUAGGGUCACGAACCAGAAAACUAGAAAAUGAAUUGCCAGGAAUAUAUUACCUAUCAAAAAUGACAAAAAGUGAAAAUGACAUUUUCAAUUCCAACUUCCAUGAAUAAUAUGGCGUAUCAAACGGAGCCUUACUGUUUUGCCUAAAGUCUCCCCAUCCAUCAAGAGCAUUGAGACAAUUGAAGGAGAUGGUGGUGCUGGGAGUGUCAAAUAGACAAACUUCUUUGAAUCUGAUGGUUAGUCCAAAUAUUAAAAUCGCGAAAGAAGAAUGAGAACAUAAUACUUUGUAUAUAUGUAGUACUAUUGUGUCAAACGUCAUCAAAUAUACCAUACUAAACAAGUCAUAAAUUUGUAGUUGUCACCAAAAAAAAAAAAUAAUAAAAAAAUAAAGAACUAGACCAAAUAAAACAUGUCCGAAGUUUUGUUCAUUUUACGUACUCUCAUGAGCAUCUGCGUUAUAUAACAGGAUCUUACUUCAAACACAUGAAGAACAGGGUCAACUUUCUGGACAAAGAAAACUACGUGGGCAAGUUCACUUUGGUUGAGGGAGACACGCUUGGUGACGAGCUUGAAAAGGUAUGUUACGAGAUGAAAUUUGAGGACUCAAAGGAUGGAGGAUGUGUCCUCAAGAUCACCAGUGAGUAUCAUUCCAAGGGUUAUGUUAACCCUAAAGAAGAGGAUAUUAAAGCAGCCCAGGAACAUACUAUGGGACUCUACAAGUCUUGUGCAGAUUAUCUGAUCGCCAAUCCUCAUGUUAGUGUCUAAAUAAUUUCUAGUUAUGUUUCCGAUUUUUUGUAUUCCCUUGAUAAAGAACUUUGUUCUACUCUUCCAUUGAAUGUUGUUCGUAUCCAACUAUCAUCAAAAUUUACGGUACAACAUUAAGAUGAAAUUUUAGCAAAGUUCAGGUCUUUGCUUUAAUAAAACGAAUUUGUUUGUUUGUUUCCAUCCGCGUCUAUUUAUUCCUCUUUCAUAUCUAAUUUUCGAUGAGUAGUACCAAAUUUCAUCAAAUUACAUGUAAGCUCGCUAUUUAUAUCUGUUUCAUUGCAAAUAAAAAUCGGUCGCAAAUAAAUUUUUUUUAGAUUUUGACUACUUAAAACUAAGAUCCCUUUAAUUAUUACCUGAUCCAAGAAAUGAAUAAGGAUAGACAAAGCUAUGGAAUAGUUACACAUAACUUUUGUUCGUUGGAUUUUUUUGCAUAAUUAAUUGAAGUUACUUUUAUUACUAACACGUCAUUAUAUUUGAGAAAUAUUAAACAUAUAAUGCUUUUUAUUUUUAUUUUUACGAUUAGACUAAUAAGGAUAUUGAUGUUAAGUCAGACAUAAUUAAAAAUCAAAAGUAAAUCCUUGAGUAGUAUAUUCUAAAAAAAAUAAAAAUAUACACACACACACACUACGUUUGAGCCAAAUUUUGCCAAUUUUUCAUUUUUAGUCCCCAAACUCUCUUCCAAUGUGCAAUUUGGUCCUUUUUCAUUUCUUUUCAAUCCUUAGCCUUUCUUAUUUAUCCAACUGACUCCUAGCACUCUCCAAUCGUCGAUAUAAUAUCUGAAUCAACUUUUAAGAGUUUUCAAUUUAGACCUCAAACUUUAAAAUUUUUCCCCUUUUUUUUUUCCAUUUUUCACUCAUUUCGUCCAACUCCAUCAUUUUGUUUCGAAUUUCUCCUAACAAACGAAAUAUAUUCAAAUUUAUGCCUUAACAGCAAAAGGGAAGGAGUUUACUAUGCUAGGUGACUUGUGGUGUACAUAAGAAUCAAGGAGAUAAUGAAAUGGUUAUUUAUGUCAUUUUUGUAAUUGUUAUGCCCUAGAUACAAUCGAUUUAGGUUGAAACACUUUUAAUAUAUUUAAUGCAUUUAAUUUUGGCGAGAUCUAUUAUUUAUUUAAAUUAAUUUUGUGAUAAAUAAUAUUAAACAAUAGAAUCCGAAGAUCCAAGUUUAAGUGAUUUGUUAAUUACAAGGAGUUGUGAUUGUGAAAUACAAAUUACAUAUAAUUGGAUUUUGAAUAAACCGUGGUCGUAAGUAAUAACGAGAUACGGAUAUCGUUAAUACAGUUAGACCAUCACAUGUGGCAUUUCUUACUUGUGAAGUAAGUAGCUGAUCUCACGAGCUAAAGUGUGGUGACACUUAAAUGAACACGUGGAUGUUUGUUAUAGAAUAAAAUAUUGGAGACCCACUGAGAGAUUCCACAUGGAUAACUAUCUGAGUGUCAGUGGUUAAUCUCUAACGUUCGGUAGUGGAAUUGGUCCUAUAACUUGAGGUCAUCAUAGUGCCUUGUAUGAGGACAGUCAUGAUUUGACGGUGUUGGAUGUUGCUCUGCCAAGGGCUGCUAAUACGACAUCGUUCGGGUAUGUCAAGAACCAUAUGAAGGUUGUGAAUGACCAAUAGAGGAUUCAUCACUCUUAGAUUGUAAGAGAUUGUGAUCUGCAUUUCGUUCAAUUAAGUCAAUAACAAAAUCCUUGGCCAAGGUAUACAUAUAAGUCGAAAAGAAAUUUUCGACUCAUAUUGACUUAAUAGUAGAAUGAAAGAUAUGAUCGAUAAUCGAGAUUGACACACUUCCAUAUCUCGUAGUUGAUCGGAUCAUAUUGACGAAUGGAUUAUAAUUUCAUGGUAAACGACUAGUUUUGGUUUUGUCAUAUCACGUGACAUUUCCCGUCACAUGUGUUGCCCUGAUACAUUGUUAGAUGUCAGUAUGGGACGGCAAGUGUGAAUUUGUGAUAAAUUAAAUGGGUGUUUAAUUUAUCAAUUUUGAUUAUAUCAAAAUAAUAUUUCACGUCAUUAGGUAUCAUGGUCGGGAACCUAAUGGGUUGCACACAAAAGAGAAUUGGAAGAUCGCAAAUUGCCAAUUGAUUGAUUUAACAAUCGUUGGAUAAAUUAAUUAAUUGAAUUUGUUAUUUAUAUUCCCGAAUUAAUUAGUUCAUGGAUCGGGUUUAAUUAAAUGGAUUAAUUAAACAUUGGAUCGGACCGGGUCGAGCCCGUUUGAGUUUAUAUAAAUACAUGGCUAGGGCUUGAGAUCUAUAAGGUUUUCAUUAUUCUUACUGGCACAAGAGGAAAAAUCCUACCAGUUGCAGUCUAUUCUCUGCGUGGAUUUCAUUGGAGGCUGGACAAUUAGAUAGCUGUGGGAGGCAGAUUCAAACUGCUCGAAAGGAAUAACGCGAAGGAGUUUGCAAAAUCAAGAAAAUGUAUAUUUCUUAUCACAGUUCUUAUUUAAAUAUAAAGCUGAAUCUCGAAUUGGAAUUGAAAUUUGUUUAAAUCUGGUGUGCAUGUUUAAGUAAAUUCUCAACAGUGGUAUCAGAGCCAACUUUGUAUUUGUUAAGAAUUGAUCUAUAUAUUGAUUAAAUUAAAAGUUAAUUUAAUCACGUUAAUCCAUGAAUCUAGCAAUUGUAGUUUUAGUUUUAUUUUUCUUUUCAGAAUCUGAUUUUGAAAGAACAAAAUUUUUUUUUUCUUGGAUCGAGGCAGCGGGACAGUGGCGGCUACGCGCACGCCACAGCCACUCGCAGCGCGCGCUGCUGCGUACUGCAAGCGCCUUAAGCGGCAACGAGGCCACUGCUGUGGUGAGCCGGGGGGUAAUUGACGACAGUUCCCCUACCAACUGUUGGGCAGGGCGGCGCCGGGUUACAAAAAAAAAUUUAGGGUUUUAGCGGAAAUGGGGGCCUCUGUUGCAAAUAAUGCAAUGAGGGGCCCCUGAUUGCAAUUACAAAAAUGGGGUCAGUUCACAAAAUUUAUAAGGGGGACCUGUUCUACAAUUUUUAACUUGGAAGGGUCCAGUGUUAAUUUCCAAAUUGGGUUAAAUUUGUAAAUUGUCAAAAAUGAUUUUGAAUUGAUUUUAAAAUGAUGUUUUAAUUGGGUUUGACCCAUACCCUAAUUUUGAUCCAAAAUUAAAAUUUAUUUAAAAUUUGACGACUUUUAUAUUUUUGUUAAAAUUAGGUUUUAACUUAAAUAUUUAAUUUUGACCCUUAAUUGAAUUUUAUUUUAUUUGGAAAUUUUGUCCUAAAUUAAAAUAUUAAUUCAAUUUUAUUAGAGUUGGACUCUAAUAUUAUAUUAAUUAAAAUUUGAUUUCAACUAAUACCACUUCCCAAUGCAAAUUAAAAUUUAGAGUAUGACUCUAAUUUAAAAAUUAAUUAAAAUUAGAUUUUGAUUAAAUUACUUCGCCGAAUAGUUAUGGAAUUAGAGUUUGACUCUAAUUCGGGAUUUAGUUAAAUUUUGAUUUUAAUUAAAUAGGCCCGUCAAUUAAGUUAAUUAAUUAAUAUGAUUAAUUAAUUAUUUAAUUAUCUCGAUCCAAAAUUUUGAAUUAGUUUUGAUGACUAUAAUUGUUAGAUUUAUGAGACUUUAUAUAUAAUAUUAGAUAUUAUACAUAAGAAAUAUUUAUGUGAUGAAUGUUUAUGGAUGAUUAUGGACUCGACCAUGUGGAUGUAUUGAAUGAUUGAUUUACUUCUUUUUGUUUUAUGGGCCUGCAAGUCCGUUGUUAUUAUUGUUGUUAUGGGCUUGCGAGCUCUUUAUUAUAUUGGACCUGCGAGUCCGUUGUUAUUGUUAUUAUUAUGGGCAUGCGAGUCCGUUUUCUUUUAGGCUUGCGUGCCAAUUAGUAUAUGAUACAUGUUGCAGUUUGACUAAUUGGAGGCGCAAGAAAUAUAUAUAUAUAUAUAUACACACACACACACAUAUAUAAUUACUUGAUGAGACUAUUGCAAGUUAAAUCCCUCGUUAAAAAUAUUAAGUUAGUAUUAUUUGCCUUUUAUCAUUAUAGUGUAAAACGAGAAUCUUAAAUCGACUUUAGCUUGUUCAGUACACUCAAGGCUGGUCUAUUAGGGAUAUAUUUGACACUAUGAAAUAUUUGAUAUUUCUGAAUGAUGGGUUUGAUUUAACUAAAAUUUAUCUUUUAUUGAGUACACUCAAGGAGAUAAGUUUUAGAGGCAUGUUAAGCUAACACAUAAGAUGUGUAAAGACAAAAGAGUUGUCAGCUUAAUGAUCUGAAAGUUGUAUGGAGAUACAAUUGAUAAUAAUAUCUACCCAAAUAUUUUAUUAGGAUUUGUUGAGUACACUCAAGAUCUUGAUACAACGAAUGGGAUCCCAGCCCACUGGGAAUCAAAUGUGGAUUCAAAUAAUUUAUGUAUGAGGGUCAUGAAUUUAUUUUAAAUAGUGGGAGCACGUUUAAUUAAAGUCCAUAUUGAAUUUAUGCAUAUGCAUUAUGAUACAUAUUAAUUCUAUGUUUUUCGUCAUUUACAGUUUUUGAAUCAUGAGUAAUCAUAUAAAUUUGAGAGACAUACUGGAUGUCAACAAACUGACUGGACCAAAUUUUUCUCAAUUUGAGAAUCAUUCUCAAGUAUGAGAAAAUUAGAUGUGUCCUUGAGUAGCCCUUUCCAGUGGUACCUACUGAAAAUUCCACUCAGGAAGAGGUGGCUGCUUACAACAAAUAUAGUGACAACAAUAAUACUACAGCAUGUGUGAUGCUUGCAGCUAUGUCACCUGAGUUGCAGAAGCAACAUGAGGGUAUGGAUGCUUACACUAUGAUUUUUCAUCUCAAGAAAUUGUAUGAUGAACAAUCUCGUGUGGAGAGGUAUGAGACCUCUAAACAACUAUACCGGUGCAAAAUGGCAGAGGGAUCUUCAGUCAGUGCUCAUAUGCAGAAAAUGAUUGGUUUCAUUGAAAAACUGGGUUCACUAGAUUUUAUCAUGGAUCAUGAACUAAGUAUUCACUUGGUUCUGCAAUCUCUGCCAGAUAGUUAUUCACAGUUCAUUAUGAAUUUUAAUAUGAAUAAGAUCGAAUGCACACUCCCUAAGUUGCUUAAUAUGCUUAAAACUGUGGAGCCCAAUGUCAAGGCUAGCAUUGGGCAUGUCUUAGCUAUUCAUUCAUCUAAGGACACUAAGAGGAAAAUCAAAGGAAGUUUUAAGAAAACAUCCAAAAAGGCUAAGGGUAAUAACAAAGCAGUCAAAGCAGGCAAGGACAAUACCAAAUCUGAUAACCCAUGUUAUCACUGUGGAGUGAAAGGUCAUUGGAAGAGGAAUUGCAAGGCUUACCUUGCUAGUUUGAAGGGAAAGAAGUCUUCAGAAACUUCUACUUCAGGUAUUUUUGUUAUCCAGAUUAAUAUGUCUACUGCAUUAGCUUCUUGGGUAUUAGAUACCGGAUGUGGAUCUCAUAUUUGUAUAAAUAUGCAGGGACUAAAGAGAAGUAGACCACUGCAGAAAAGAGAAGUUGACCUGCGCGUGGGAAAUGGAGCAAGAGUUACUGCAUUAGCUGUAGGGACAUACUUCUUACCACUGCCUUCGGGCUUAGUAUUAGCAUUAGAAAAUUGCUAUUUUGUUCCCGCCAUUAUUAAAAACAUUAUUUCUAUUUCGUGUAUGGACAUGAAUAGUUUUUCAAUUAAUGUUAAGAACAAUCGUUGUUCGUUUUAUAAAGAUGUGAUCUUUUAUGGUUGUGGUGUGUUGCAAAAUGGAAUUUAUAUUCUUGAUACUGAGUCGUCUAUUAUGAAUAUAGAAAAUAAAAGGUAUAAAAAUGAUAAUCUAAAUAAUACAUAUCUCUGACAUUGCAGAUUGGGUCAUAUUAACGACAAACGCAUUUCCAAGUUAUGUAAAGAUGGAUAUUUGGGGUCAACUGAUUUUGAAUCAUUUGACAAAUGCGAGUCGUGCCUGUUAGGCAAAAUGACCAAGUUUCCUUUUACUGAAAAAGGAGAAAGAAUCACAGAACUUCUGGGACUAAUACAUACUGAUGUAUGUGGACCCAUGUCAAUAACUGCCAGAGGUGUUUGCUCUUACUUCAUUACAUUCACUGAUAAUCAUUCUAGAUAUGCUUAUGUGUGUAUGAUGAAAUUCAAGCAUGAAACACUUGAAAAGUUCAAGGAAUUCAAACUUGAAGUAUAGAAACAGACUAGUAAAAAUAUUCUCACGCUGAGAUCAGAUCGAGGUGGAGAAUAUUUAAAGUGAGAAUUUUUAGAUUAUCUUAAAGAGAAUGGGAUUCUCUCACAGUGGACUCUGCCAUAUACACCGCAACAUAAUGGUGUAUCUGAACGGAGAAAUCGCACUUUGUUAGACAUGGUGCGAUCUAUAAUGAGCCAUGCAAACAUCCCAAAAUCAUUACACUAAUUGCUGUGUGCUACACAUUUAAUCGUAUCCCAUCUAAAUCGGUCCACAAAACUCCAUACGAGCUACGGAGAGGAAAAAGACCAAACUUAUCUCAUGUGAAAGUUUGGGACUGUGACGCUUAUGUAAAGCAAAAUGAAUCAGAUAAACUUGAGGUUAAAUCUGACAAAUGCGUAUUUGUGGGAUACCCAAAAGAGACAAUUAGAUAUCAGUUUUAUAAUCCCGUUGAGAAGAAGGUGUUCAUCUCAAGGCAUGCUAUAUUCCUAGAAAAAGAGUUUAUUCUAGGAGAAGGUAGCGGGAACAAACUAGAACUUGAAGAAGUUCAAGAAUCCAUAGAUACUGUUGACCAAUUAGAUGAACCUGAGUCUGAUCCUAUACCUGUUGACGAACAGACUCUUGAUUAGGAUGUAGAGAACUCUGAGGACACUCCAGCUCAGCGUAAAUCAAGUAGGAUCAUUCGACCUCCCAGAAGCUACGAAUUCACCAUUACUAAUCAAGUAUUAUUAGUCGAGGAUGAUGAACCUACAAAUUACGCAGAAGCGAAGUCAAGUGUUGACUCGAAGAGAUGGCAAGAAGCCAUGGAAUCCGAAAUUAACUCAAUGUAUGAGAACAAGGAUUGAACCUUGGUCGACCUUCCAGGUGGGAUAAAAUCGAUAGGUUGUAAAUGGGUUUACAAGAAAAAGGUCGAUGUGGAUGGAAACGUCCAUACAUACAAAGCAAGGCUAGUACGAAGGGUUACACACAAAGACAAGGUGUUGACUUUGAUGAAACUUUUUCGCCUGUAGCCAUGCUAAAGUCCAUUCGGAUUUUGCUUGCAAUAGCUGCAUACCAUGAUUAUGAGAUAUGACAAAUGGAUAUCAAAACUGCUUUCCUUAAUGGAAACUUACAAGAGGAGGUAUACAUGACACAGCCUGAAGGUUUUGAAUCCAAAGGAGCCAACAAAGUAUGUAAGCUAAAUCAAUCCAUUUAUGGAUUAAAGCAGGUCUCAGGAGUUGGAAUCUUCGUUUUGAUGAAACAAUCAAAAGGUUUGAUUUAUCAAAAAUGAAGAUGAACCGUGUGUUUACAAGAAGACAAGUGGGAGCGUGAUCAUAUUCCUAUUAUUAUAUGUCGAUGACAUAUUAUUAAUGGGAAACGACAUCUCAAUGCUUCAAUCGGUAAAAUUAUGGUUGUCAAAGAAUUUCUCCAUGAAAUAUAUGGGAGAAGCAGUGUAUAUCUUGGAAAUCAAGAUCUAUAGAGAUAGAUCUAAAAGAUUACUAAGCUUAUCCCAAUCUUCGUACAUAGAUAAAAUCUUGAGAAGAUUUAAUAUGGAAGAGUCUAAAAGAGGUUUAUGUCCUAUGUCGCAUGGGAUUUACCUCUCAAAAGAUAUGUGUCUUAAAACACAUGAUGAAAGGAGUCACAUGGAUAAGAUUCCUUAUGCUUCGGCGAUAGGAUCUAUCAUGUAUGCGAUGUUAUGUACGAGACCAGAUGUUUCAUAUGCUCUAAGUGUUACGAACAAGUUUCAAGCAAACCCUAGUGAGAAACACUGGAUAGGGUUAAGAACAUUCUUAAGUAUUUGAAAAGGACUAAAGAUGUGUUCUUGAUCUAAGGAGGAAAUGAAUUGAAAAUUCAUGGGUAUACUGAUGCCAGCUUUCAAACUGACAAAGAUGAUAGCAAGUCUCAAUCAGGAUAUAUGUUUACUCUCAACAGUGGAGCGGUUAGUUGGAAAAGUUCCAAACAGGAGACAACCGCUAAUUCAACAAUAGAAGCCGAGUACAUUACUGCUUCUGAAGCAACGAAGGAAACUGUCUAGAUCAAGAAGUUCAUUAAUCAACUUGGAGUCGUUCCUAGUAUUGUUGAUCCCAUACCUUUGUAUAGUGAUAACAAUGGAGCCAUCACACAAGCAAAGGAACCAAGGUCUCAUCAACGAUCCAAACAUGUGCUAAGGCGAUAUUAUCUCAUCAGGGAGAUUAUACAAAGAAAUGACAUAAUGAUAGAGCGAGUUACGACAGAAGACAAUAUUGUAGAUCCACUGACAAAGCCAUUGUCACAACAAAAACAUGAUCAUUAUGUGGACGCUUAUGGUAUUAGAUACAUGAGUGAUUGGAUCUAGUGCAAGUGAGAGUUUGUAAGUGUUAUACCCUAAAUCUAAUCUAUAUAGGUUGUAAACAUUUUUAAUAUGUUUAAUUCAUUUAAUUUUGGUGAGAUCUAUUAUUUAUUUAAAUUAAUUUUGUGAUAAAUAAUAGAAUCCGAAGAUUCAAGUUUAAGUGAUUUGUUAAUCACAAGGAGUUGUGAUUGUGAGAUACAAAUUACAUAUAAUUGGAUCUUGAAUAAACCAUGAUCGUAAGUAAUAACGAGAUACGGAUAUCGUUAAUACAGUUAGACCAUCACGUGUGACAUUUCUUACUUGUGAAGUGAGUAGCUGAUCUCACGAGUUAAAGUGUGAUGACAAUUAAAUGAACACGUGGAUGUUUUGUCAUAGAACAAAAUAUUGGAGACUCGCUGAGAGAUUCCACAUAGAUACGUAUCUGAGUGUCAGUGGUUAAUCUCUAACGUUCGGUAGUGGAAUUGGUCCAAUAACUUGAGGUCAUCAUAGUGCCUUGUAUGAGGGUAGUCAUACUUUGACGGUGUUGAAUGUUGCUCUACUAAGGGCCGCUAAUACGACAUCGUUCGGGUAUGUCAAGAACCAUAUGAAGGUUGUAAAUGAUCAAUAGAGGAUUCGUCACUCUUAGAUAGUAAGAGAUUAUGAUCCGCAUUUCGUUCAAUUAAGUCAAUAACGAAAUGCUUGGCCAAUGUAUACAUAUAAGUUGAAAAUGAGUUUUUGACUCAUAUUGACUUAAUAGUAGAAUGAAAGAUAUGAUCGAUAAUCGAGAUUGACACACUUCCAUAUCUCGUAGUUGAUCGGAUCAUAUUGACGAAGGGAUUAUAAUUUCAUGGUAAACGAACAGUUUUGGUUUUGUCAUACCACGUGACAUUUCUCAUUACAUGUGUUGCCCUGAUACAUUGUUAGAUGUCAAUCUGGAACGGCGAGUGUGAAUUUGUGAUAAAUUAAAAGGGUGUUUAAUUUAUCAAUUUUGAUUAAAUCAAUAUAAUAUUUCACGUCGUUAGGUAUCGUGGUCGGGAACCUAAUGGGUCGCACACAAAGGAGAAUUGGAAGAUUGCAAAUUGCCAAUUGAUUAAUUUAACAAUCGUUGGAUAAAUUAAUUAAUUGAAUUUGUUAUUUAUAUUCUCGAAUUAAUUAAUAGAAUUAAUUAAUUCACGGACCGGGUUUAAUUAAAUGGAUUAAUUAAAUAUUGGACCGGAUCGGAUCGAGCCCGUUUGGGUUUAUAUAAAUAUAUGACAAGGGUUUGAGGUCCAUAAGGUUUUCAUUAUUCUUGCUGGCACAAGAGGAAAAACCCUACCAGUUGCAAUCUAUUCUCUGUGUGGAUUUCAUUAGAGGCUGGACAAUUGGAUAGAUGUGGGAGACAGAUUCAAGCUGUUGGAAAGGAAUAACGCGAAGGAGUUUGCAAAAUCAAGAACAGGUAUAUUUCUUAUCACAGUUCUUAUCUAAAUACAAAGUUGAAUCCUGAAUGGGAAUUGAAAUUUGUUUAAUUCCGUUGUGCAUGUUUAAAUAAAUUCUCAACAAUUUUUAUAUACAUUUAAUUUAGUAAAUAAAAAAUAUACUUAAAAUGUAUGUAUAUAAAACACAAAUAUGCGGUGUAACAAAAGAUUUGUGUGGUGGCAAUAUAUUCAUCCAUAGUUAAAACAAUCAAGGAAGAGGUUCGAAUAGGUUUUCAUCAAUUUCAAAUUUAAUGCCGAAGGAUAUUCAUUUCAAAUUAAUUUAAACCUUAAUUCGGACUUAGGAGUGAUUUCAAGCCAGAAGUAUUGCAUAGAAUUUGAUUGGAUAAGUAUGCUGAUUGUUCUUAAUUGAUUUUAAGAGAAUUUUAAAUAGUUAAUGUUAUUUGACCAGUUAGUCAAGCAGAAUAAAACAUUCGUUAAACCUAAACUAAUUAAGAUUAGAAACGACGAAUUUAACAUGGUAAACUCAGUCUUACAGACUAGAAAUAAAUUCCAUUUCAAAAAAGUGUACUGUCAUUUCAAACAUUUGAAACUAAUAUAAUUAUCAAUGACGAGGAAACUGACACUGAGGGUAUACGAUGAACUAAGGUCCUAAUUAUACAAAAUCACUUGAUGACAAUUGACUAGGAAAAACAAAAAUCAUGAAAAAUCACAGCAUCUCUUUGAAAAUUGAUUAGGAGAAACUCAGAAGAAAUAAGAAUAAAUAUUCGAGUUAUGUUAAUCAUAAUUGAUAUGUUUGGCUGAGAUCAAAAAGUUUACUUGUAUGUAUAUAUUUAUGUUAAAAUUAUUUUCGCUUAAUUUGGUUAUACUUGCAAAUAUGUAAUUUCAAUGUCUGGAUAAUGAAAUAAAAUGUUAUUUUCAAGGAGAGCAUUUUUUUACUUAAAAAUAUGCUAAAGAAAUGUUUAGAGAUAAAAGUAAACUUAACUUCAUAAUGAGAAAAUUCAGAAGUGAUCCAGUUUCUGGCAUUCAGAGAUAUUGACAUCAAAUAAGCUAUUGUAUUAUUUGACUCCAAUAGUUCCUAAUAUUAUAUUAUUUGUAAUGGUAUUAUUCAAGUAUUAAAUAUUCAAUUUGGAUUCUGGGAACCCUACAAAUUGGACUAUGUUGAUAGAAAAAAGCUGAAAUGCAUCCUGAGAAAUAAUAAUUUUUUUCUUAUUCAUGGCCUUUGAAUGAAAGGAAAUAGAAUGCAUAGAUUUUGCAAAUGGAAUAGAUAGUCAAUAAUGGCCUACUAUGCUAUAGAUGGAGCCAAUUUGCAUUGACCCAGUGAUAGAACUUAAACCACUUGUCAUGAAUGUUAAAGGAAAGAAAUAUGGGCUCCCGGGGCACUGUUCAACUGGUGGAUCAAUCAACAUUGGCUUGCUUCCAGCGGCAGGGUGGAGAGUUCGAUUUCUGGUGGGAACUUGCGGCCGAAAAUUUGGUAUGGAGCAAUCACUGUGGAGGAGGGUCUCUUAUGCGCAGAAGUGUACAGUCAAUGAGGGGAACCUAUGAUCCAGUUGAGGUAUAUCCUGCGAUUUACUCCCUCCAAGGUUCUAGGGGUAUGAGUCUUGGAGGUCCAAGAUUUAGUUUGGUGUAAGCUGGGAUCCUCGAUAUNNNNNNNNNNNNNNNNNNNNNNNNNNNNNNNNNNNNNNNNNNNNNNNNNNNNNNNNNNNNNNNNNNNNNNNNNNNNNNNNNNNNNNNNNNNNNNNNNNNNNNNNNNNNNNNNNNNNNNNNNNNNNNNNNNNNNNNNNNNNNNNNNNNNNNNNNNNNNNNNNNNNNNNNNNNNNNNNNNNNNNNNNNNNNNNNNNNNNAAUUAAAAGAACAGAUUUUAUAUAGAUCUUUAAUUUCAGAAUUUAGAGAAGAAUAUUUUAUAAAUAGUUUUGAUCAGAUAUUUAUAUCAGAUCUAAAAUUAAGGAUUGAAUUAGAUAAUAUUGAUAAUAAUUAUUUAUCAGAUCAUACAAACUUUUCAUUAGAUUCUUUUUAUUAUUCAGAUUAGAAUAUUAAACUGGAUAUUAAUAGAAAGAUUGAAUACUUAGACUUAGAAAUAUUAAGAAGUACUAGUAAAAAAGUACAAACAGUUGAUAAUAGUAUAAUUAAGUGUAAUUUAGACAAUAAGCAUAAAUUACAUAGUUUAUUUUCAGAAGAUCCAAGUCAAAAUUGCAUAGUAGACUUAAUUAUAAAUUUAUCAAAAAAUUUAGAAUUAGAAAAUAAAAAGAAAAAUAGUUAUUUAGAAAUUAUAAAAGAAAACAUUACAUAUAGAGACCAAGAGAUUAAGAGUAUAAAAGAAUCUUUAGAUUAUAUUAAAAAUCAAAAUUCAAGUAUUUUAGAAAAACUUGUUAAAUUAGAAAAAAUACCAACUAAAGUAGAUUUAACAGAAAUAAAAAGAAUUUUAGAUUCUAAUAAAUCUAAAGAAAUAGAAAUAGGAGCUACAUCAAGUGUAGAAAAAGAUUUAAAAUCCUUAACAAAUACAUUAGAAAAAUUGAGUUUUAGAGACACAAGAAAAGAAAAGGUAACUAGAAAAUUGCCUAAAGAAUAUAAAUUUCCAAGAUGAAUACCAAUCCCUUCUUAGGAAGGUCUAGAACAAUAAAUGAAGAAGCAUCUACAUCUAGACAUAGUACUUCAAGUAUAAGCAGAAAUAUAAUAGAAAGAGUUUUAAACAGACCAGUACAAUAUAAUCAAAACAUAGAAGAAAUCAUAGAUCCUCAACAAGACUAUCAAAGAUUUCAAACUAAUGGUUUAAGAAUCCUUAACCCAGAAAUAUUAUAUAAUAGAGGAAUCUUUGAAACGAGAACACAAUUUUUUAGACACAGUAGAGAAGUAUCUGUUCAAUGUAUAGGAAAUCAAGUAAGAAAAUUAAAUUUAAUAUCAGAAGACUCUAAGAGAGAAUUAAAAAAGAAAAACUUUAGAUUUAUGCACCUAGGAUUAAUAGUUAUAGGAAUAAAAGGAUUAAUGAGAAAAAACUUACGAUGUAAAGUGUUAGUUACUAUAUAUGAUGAAAGAAUUAAUAAUAUAGAUAAGAGUAUGAUUGCAAGUACAGAAGUAGAUAUGAAUAAUAAUAAUGAAAUAAUUUAUUGUAAUCCAGAUUUUUUAUUAACCAUUAAAGACUUUCCAGAUAAAAUUAAAAUAGGAAUUCAAACAAAAGGAUAUGAAGAAGUAGAAAGUGGAGAUAACCUAUUGAUUAGUAUAGGAUUUUUAGGAAAAUGUUCAAAUAACUCUCAGACAAAAUAUAAAAUUUACAUAGAUAAAGUAGUAAACUUAAUGAGUAGUAAAUGAAUUAACAUGGUUAAACCAAAAGAAUAUUCAUCAGAACAAUUAGCAGGAUUAGAAUGAGAUAUGGAUAGAUUUUUAGAAAAUCAAGAAACAAUUAUAGCACCACAGGAAGCAUUAACUUAUAAAGAUAUUCAUGGAAGAACUAGUUUAAGAUUUUUAGAUUACAAUCAGGUACAAAGACAGAAUGAUUUUGAAGAAGAAACUAAUACUGAAGAGGAACAAAAUGAACCAUUUCAAAAUCAGGUUCAUCUAGAAUUAAUAGAUGAAGAAAAUGAUAGAAUAAUUUAUCCAAAAGAAUUAGGAAUGAAUUUAGAUAAUAAAGAAUUAUUAGAACUAGAAGACCAAAUGUAUCUUAAUAAAACAAUUACAGAAUCUGAAUAUUUAUAUUAUGAUCAAGAAAAGAACAUAAGAAUAGGAACUAUAUUCCGAAAAUUCAGAUUCUAGUUAUAUAAAAGAACUUAUGGAAGACUCAAAUACAUAUAGAACUUUUAGUGAUACUCCUUUUGAUAAAACAGUUAAACAUGAAGCAAUGAUUUAUAGUGGAGGAUUCCCCCCAAGAGGAGCUUACUCUUCAUAUAAUAACACAGAAGGAAAAUAUAUAGCAAGAGGAAGUGAAAGACCCUUAGAAAAGAAAAUAGAAUUUCAAUCAGAUCACAAAACACAAAUUCUAAAUAUUACAGCACAUGAUCCACAGACAUGGAAUAAUGUUAUAGAUGUAUGGAAGAAUACUAUAAUAGGACAUUAUAUUAGAAAUUUUCAAGAAAUGGAAGCUUUAGAUAUGUAUAGAUACUUAGAAACAUUUUUAGGAGAAAGUGUAAAAGCAAUGUGGGAAGCUUUUAAAUUAGAAAAGAAAUAAGAAUUUGAACAAUUAGUUAGUAUGGGAAGUAAUCCUUAUAAUUUUGUUAAUAAAAUACAGAUAUUAAUAACAGGAGCAGACCCUAAUUCAGGACACAUGAGUAUACAAAGAAAAGCUAUGAGAGAUUUAGAACAACUUAGUCUUUAUAAGUGGACUAAAGGAAGAUAUGUUAAGAACUUUUUAAACGAAUAUCAUUACUUAACUUCAAUAUCAGGAAAUACAUUUAAUCAAGAGAUAGGAAAUAAAUUGUUUCAUAAAUUACCAGGACCAUUAGGAUUAGAAAUUACAGAUAAAUGGAAUAAUUUGCCAUCAGUUAAAGAAGAACCAGAAAAACAAUGGAGUAUAGGACAAAGAAUACAANNNNNNNNNNNNNNNNNNNNNNNNNNNNNNNNNNNNNNNNNNNNNNNNNNNNNNNNNNNNNNNNNNNNNNNNNNNNNNNNNNNNNNNNNNNNNNNNNNNNNNNNNNNNNNNNNNNNNNNNNNNNNNNNNNNNNNNNNNNNNNNNNNNNNNNNNNNNNNNNNNNNNNNNNNNNNNNNNNNNNNNNNNNNNNNNNNNNNNNNNNNNNNNNNNNNNNNNNNNNNNNNNNNNNNNNNNNNNNNNNNNNNNNNNNNNNNNNNNNNNNNNNNNNNNNNNNNNNNNNNNNNNNNNNNNNNNNNNNNNNNNNNNNNNNNNNNNNNNNNNNNNNNNNNNNNNNNNNNNNNNNNNNNNNNNNNNNNNNNNNNNNNNNNNNNNNNNNNNNNNNNNNNNNNNNNNNNNNNNNNNNNNNNNNNNNNNNNNNNNNNNNNNNNNNNNNNNNNNNNGCUUAGAAGAAAAAAGUCUUAUUGAAAAAGAAGAAGUUAAUUCAGAAAUUUUAAAAGAAAAAAUUGAAAUAUCAGAAAUAAAAAUUCUUAGGAAGAGAAUUGAAAGUUUAGAAGAAAUGCAGAAAUUUAUAAUAAAUAAGAUAGAAAUGUUAGAAUAUAAUAAUAAAGGAAAAGCAAUAGAAACAGAAGAACAUAGUCAAGGUUUAGAAUAUAAAGAAAAAGAAUAUGUUCAAGUAAUAUGUAAUUCAGAAAAGCUUAAAAGUAUUAAGGUAAAAUGCUAUAUAAGAAUAGGACAGUACGAAAUAAAAUGUUUAGGAUUAAUAGACUCAGGAUGUAGUAAUUGUAUAAUUAAUAAAAAAUUAAUACCAGAACAAUAUAUAAUAUAUUCAGAUAAACCAAUAGAAGCACAACAAAUGGAUGGAGAACUUUAUACUUAUAAAGAAUUAUUACAAUCAAAUAGUAAGAUUAGUUUUGAGACAAAUUGUGGUAGAAGUAUAGAAUAUACCUUACCAAAAGAAUCCGUAUGGGUUAGACCUUUAAAUAUCAAGGAUACAGAUUUUAUUAUAGGACUAAGUUUUUUAUUAAAAGACAAUGGAAGUGUUACAAUUACUAAAGAUUUCUUACAUUUACAAAAACAUACCCUAUUUACACCAACACAGACCACUUAUUUCCCAUCAGAGUGCAUAGAGAAGCGUUGUGGAAAUAGUAGUAAUAAUUGUAAGUAUGAAAAAGAAAGAGAAUGUCAAUUAAUAGAAGAAGAUAAUUUAGAAGAAAUUACAAAAGAAGAUGAAUUAGAAGACAUGGACUUUGGAACUAUAGAGUUAAUUGAUAAUGAAAAAAUUUAUGAUAUACUAAUAACAGAACAAGAAAUAAAAAAUUUAAUAUCUAGAUUAGAAAAGAUGGAAAUUAUAGGUGAAAAUGUUCUAAAAUAUUGGGAAAAAGAUAAAAUCCUAUGUGAGUUAAAAAUAAAAAAUCCAGAAUACAUAAUUAAAACUAAGAAUAUAGAAGCUACAAAUUUAGACAUAGAAGAUUUUAAAACACAUAUAAAAGAACUCUUAGAAUUAGGAGUUAUUAGAAAAUCAGAUAGUCCUCAUAGAUCAGCAGCUUUUAUAGUUAGAAAACAUUCAGAAAUUGUUAGAGGAAAAAGCAGAAUGGUUAUCAAUUAUAAAAGAUUAAAUGAUAAUACUAUAGAUGAUGCUUAUAACAUACCAGACAAGACAGUUUUAAUAAAUAAAAUACAAGACUGUAAAAUUUUUAGUAAAUUUGAUUUAAAAUCAGGAUUUUGGCAAGUAAAGAUGCACCCAGAAAGUAUUAAGUGAACAACCUUUACCUGUCCAGAAGGACAUUUUGAAUUGCUUGUAAUGCCAUUUGGAAUUAAGAAUGCACCAAGUAUUUUUCAAAGAAAAAUGGAAAGUAUUUUUAAUAGACAUAGUAAGUUUGUAAUAGUAUAUAUUGAUGAUAUUUUAGUUUUUAGUAAAAAUAAACAAGAACAUAGAGGACANNNNNNNNNNNNNNNNNNNNNNNNNNNNNNNNNNNNNNNNNNNNNNNNNNNNNNNNNNNNNNNNNNNNNNNNNNNNNNNNNNNNNNNNNNNNNNNNNNNNNNNNNNNNNNNNNNNNNNNNNNNNNNNNNNNNNNNNNNNNNNNNNNNNNNNNNNNNNNNNNNNNNNNNNAAAGGAAAUUUAAGUAGCAUAGAUGCAGAAUUAUUAGCUAUAAAUUAUGCACUAGAUAGUUUUGAAUUAUUUAUUAUAUCCAAGAAAGAAAUAACAAUAAGAACAGAUUGUGCAGCCAUAGUUUCCUUUGUCAAUAAAAUGAAAAUAGAUUCAAAAAGAAGUAGUAGAAGAAGGUGGUUAAAUUUUAUUGAUAGAAUCACUAAUACAGGGAUUAAUAUAGAAUUUGAGCAUAUUAAAGGUAGUGAUAAUAAAGCAGCAGAUAUAUUAAGUAGAAUAAUAAUAGAUAGAAACUAUUAAAUUUGUUUAAUAUAAUUUCUUUAUACAGAUGACAAGGCCAACACCUAUAAGACCAGGAAUUCCACCAGGGAAUUCAUUUGCAUCAAGACUAUUACCACAAACUCCAUUUAAUCAGAACAGACCAAUGUUACAAGACAGACUAAGGUUUGGAAACCAAGAACUCAUAGUCUUUCCAAAUAGUAAUAUUUCUUUUAAAAUUUUACCGCAUAUUUCUUUAUCUAGAGAAGAGAAAUGUAUCUUAGACAAUUUAUGGAUUUCUUAUAAUAAGAAUCCAAAAGACCAAAAAUAUUUUCUUGCAUGCAUGAAUGCAUUAUCAGAACAUUUUAGUCAGAACAAGCAAAGGUUUAAAUUUUAUGUUGUCAUUAAAGGAAGAACUCCAGGAUUUUUUCAUACCUGGUUAGAAGUUAUAGAUUGCAUUAAAAAUUUUCCAGAACCUAUUUACAAAGGUUUUACAAAUUUUCAAGAAGCAUUAGAUGUUGCAAGACAACAGAUAGGAAUAAAUUUUUAUUUAUCUCCUUCUUUGAAGAAUUACUCAGACCCUCCAUUAGAUUUUUCUCCAAGUAAAGACCAGAAUAUUUUCUGCCAACAUUGUGAAUGUAUGCAGAGAAAUUUCAAAGUUAUCAAUGAAGCCAAUCAGAACCUUUCAUUAGAAAGAACUCAACUUCAAAAGAAAGUGGCCCAAUUAGAAAAAGAGAUCUUGAAUUUAAAAGUCCAUUAUCCAACAGGUACUAUGGAGCCCAAGAAGUCCAUAGCUAGUCCAGCCCAAAUGGUAGCUGGUAAAGACUCAUCAAAUCCGUUAAAGGUUGUGGACUUACCAAAAGCCCAACAGACUCAGGGGACUGUUGAUUCUCCUACUAAAUUAGAUGAUCAGACUCAGCAGACUGAUAAAUCUGCUACAGAAAAAGGUAAAGAGAUUUGGGAUCUCUUAGGACAGCCCAAUGGAAAAUUUGAUUAUUUAGUCAAAUAUAGUCCACCAGAACAUUUUUCCUCAGAACAUUUUUCAAAUAACCCAGAAUUUUCACAAGCCCAAGAAUUUCAAUCUAGUAAGGGAAAAGAAAAAAUGGUAGUCCAAGAUAGUCAAGAAUGUUUAUUUUUUCAAGAAUCACAAGAUCCAAAUCCAGAUACUGCCUCUUUAGAAAAGAUCUUUGAGAAAAUUGAAGAACUCCAAAAACAAUCUAAAAAAGAUGAAGGGAAUUCUUCUAGAAAAAAGAAAAAGAUUAAGAAGAAGAAAAAUGAUGAAGGACUAAAAGAACAAAUAAGAGAAGCAGUUAACCAAGCAUUCGAGACAAUAUUAAAAAAGAGCCAUGAAGAAGAAAAAGAAAUUGCAGAAUGUCCAGAUCAGAAAGAAAAAGAUGAAGCCAGUAACUCCAGACUUUCAGAUGAAGACGAAGAUCCACAUGAAGAAGGAUACAAUAAUUCAGAUAGUGGAAUGUCAUUUUCAUCAGUGGCACGUCAUAAUCUCAGUACAUAAUCAGAUCAUCAAUAAUGCAGAACAAGACAAAAGUGAUGGAAGAAAAGAAGGAAAAACUGAAGAUCCUUAUCACAUUACUAUAGACCUUUUGAUUUUUGAAGAAAGAUGUCAGAAACUUUUAGACUUUUACGUAAAUUGGUAGAAAUUUCAAGAUUCCUAAACUGUAGACUUUUAGACUUUUGUAAAAGUAGGAAAUUUUCUUUCCACUUGUUAGAUCUAUCUUGAAUUAGCCAGAAGUUUCUCGGUGAAACGUGUGCUCUUUUCAAGGAUAUUUUAGACUUUUUGCUCUCAAGAAUUUUUCUAUUUAAGGAACAAGUUUCAUUCAGGUUUAGGCAGAAGUUUACAACCUGUGUACUCUCUGCUAUUCAAAAACCUUUUGAAACCUUUCUCAGAAAAAUUCUCAAUCCAAAAAAUCAUUGUAUAGUUGAAUCAUCCUUGUGAAUAUUUAAGGUAUUUUUGUAUUUCUUUAAGUUUAUUUUAGAACCUUAGGAACUUCCCGAAAGGGAAAUCCUUAGUUGUAAAUUUUUUAAAAGAUAAAUUUAUAAAUCCCUGAUUUAUGUUUUAUUAGUUUAUGUUCAUAUUUUUGUAUUUAUGUUUUAAGUAAAUAUCUGUUAUGUUUCUCAUUUCAUCCUAUGCAUAUAAUAAAAGCAUAACUUGAUUUUUAGAAGUCAUACUAUUUUUAGGUUAAUCCUGAGUGACCCAGAUGAAUGAAAACUUUUGGCCGGAGUGAGCCUUUUUGAUGUUUUCUAGAGAUGCUGGGGAAAGGGAGAAAUUAAUCUAAGAAUUUUAUAAGGGAGUGCCACGGGUAACCUUAUAAAAAGAAAUCAGGUUCAAGUUUAUAUGUCAUAGGUGGUGAAAAUUUAAAUGAAAAAAAAAGGGGGAUUUAUACAUGAUUCUUAAGAAAGAUUUAUAGAAAAUUAAGGAGAGUACUGAGUAGGAUUAAAGCUAUUAAAAGUAAAACAUCCAUCUUAAAACAGCAUACCCCCCAUUUGGUAUAUAUAUAUAUAUAUAUAAUGGAGAAACCAAUUGAAAUGAAACAGCUCCAUGAUGGGCUCUAAAGAAAUUCUAGACAUGGAUAAAAGUCUCAUGUUCAAAUAUAUUCACAUCAAAUAGGCCGGCUGUUGUAUUAUAUUGAAAUCUCAACAAGUAGAUAUACAGUGUAGAAGCUGUACAAAUGUGACGAUUAAGGCUCCAACUAGUCAGCCCAUUAAAAGUAUUUUCUUAUUCAAAGCAGACGUGGGAAAAUAGAAAUAGAAUAAAUUGAUUAUAAACCGAAAAUGUAACGUCAAAUGGCGUGCUAAUUUAUUAAAUUUUAAGGCGCAGUUUGGCUAUAAUAUUCAAAUGUUAUCUACUACACCACCGCUAUAUAUACCAUGUUCAGCUGCUGUUUCCUGCACAGCUCUUCACUUCUUCUCUAUUGUAACUCACUUAACUUUUCAACGAGUCUUCAUAGGUUAUACUAUUCAAGGUAAAUAUGGGUAUCUCCAAUUAUUUCCAUGAACUCAAAACUAAUGUUUCUCCCAAGAGGCUGUUCAAGGCUUUGAUCACCGAUAACCACGAUGUUUUGCCGAAAGUCUCCCCAUCCAUCAAGAGCAUUGAGACAAUUGAAGGAGAUGGUGGUGCUGGAAGUGUCAAAAAAAAACAAACUUUUCUGAAUCUGAAGGUUAGUCCAAAUAUUAAAAUCGCAAAAAAAGAAUGAGAACGUAAUAUUUUGUAUAUAUGUAGUACUAUUGUGUUAAAGGUCCUUCUUCUUCUUCUUUUUUUUUUUUCCCCUUUUUUUUAAAUUUUUAAAUUUUUUAUUAUUUUUAUUAUUUUUACGACACCAGACAAAAUAAAACAUGUCCGAAGUUUUGUUCAUUUUACAUACUCUCAUGAGCAUUUGCGUUAUAUAACAGGGUCUCACUUCAAGAACAUGAAGACCAAGGUUGACUCCUUGGACAAAGAAAACUACGUGGCCAAGUUCACUUUGGUUGAGGGAGAUGCCCUUGGUGAUGAGCUUGAAAAGGUAUGUUACGAGAUGAAAUUCGAGGACUCAAAGGAUGGAGGAUGUGUCCUCAAGAUCACCAGUGAGUAUCAUUCAAAGGGUGAUAUUGUACCUAAAGAAGAGGAUAUUAAAGCAGCACAAGAACAUACUAUGGAGCUCUACAAGUCUUGCGCAGAUUACCUGAUUGCCAAUCCUCAUGUUUGUGUCUAAAUAAAAAACUUUGUUCUACUCUUCCAUUGAAGUUUGUUCUUAUCCAACUAUUAUCCAAAUUUACUGUACAACAUUAAGAUGAAAUUUUAGCAAUGUUCAGGUCGUUGCCUUAAUAAAGCGAAUUUGUUUGUUUAUUUCCAUUCACGUCUAUUUAUUCCUAUUUCAUGUCGAAUUUUCAAUGAAUAGUACCAAAUUUCAUCAAAUUACAUGUGAGCUUGCUAUUUAUAUAUGUUUCAUUGCACGUAAAUUUCAGUUGCAAAGAAAUUUAAUCUAGAUAUGGACUACUUAAAACUGCCGUUUGAUUGCAAAAGUGAAAAGGCAAAUUAAUUCCAUGUAAGUUGGAAAAAAAAAACUACCAAAAUCAUACGAAUGCAUUUUCCAUGAAAUUGGCCAAAAACAUGCUUUUGAGUGUUUGUACCCUAAAAUUCAAACUCCAUUUCCACUUUCAUAUCAAACAGCUAAAAUAGAAAACGAAUUCCUCGGAUAUAACAUUUUCCAUGGAAUUGAAGUCAAUCAAACGGAGCGUAGGAUCCCUUUAAUAAUUACCUGAUCCAAGAAACGAAUAAGGACAGAAAAAACUGUGGAAUAGUUACAUCUAACUUUUGUACGUUGGAUUUUUUGCAUCAUUAAAUGAAGUUACUUUUAGGGUCUGUUUAAAUGCAAAGAUGGAAUUUGGAUGGAAAGAAAACGAAUUCUAGAAAAUUGAAUUGUCUAGAAUUGUUUACUGAAAAUUGUCAAUUAUUGUGUUUGAUUGGUAUAAUUUUUUACGCAAAAAAUGUUGAAAUAAAAGUAUUUUUUGUUAUUCGUUUGACUUUGUUUUACAUGAAAAUUGUCAAUUAAAUGGAUAGAUUUACUGUUAUUGGGGGAUAGAAUUUGUUUUCAUUGUCAAAAAAAGACAAGAAAAUCAUAUAUUUUUUUAUGUUCGUUUAACUUUGUUUUACAUGAAAAUUGUCAAUCAAAGAAAAAUAUUUUUUUAUAAUUAGGGAUAGACUUUGUUUUCAUUGUCACAAAAAAAUAAAAAAAUAAAAAAAUAAAAGGGGCAACGAAGAAAACCAAUUCCCAGCUAACCCACAAGAAUACAAAUUCCUCAUUUUUUUCGUGAAAAACAAGUCACAUGCCAAAAUACUAGAAAACAAAUUGCCAGGAAAUAUUGCCUAACAAACAUGGCAAAAAGUGGAAAAUGGCAUUUUCAAUUCCAACUUCCAUAGAAAAUAUGACGCAUCAAACGGAGCCUUAUUAUUAACACAUUAUUAUAAUCGAGAAAUAGAUAAACAUAUAAUCCUUUUUAUUUUUAUUUUUAUGAAGACUAAUAAGGAUAAUGAUGUUAAGUCCGGCGCAAGUUCAAAAUCAAGUGUGACCCCCUUGAGCUGUAGAUUCCACAACAGAAAUAUUGCAUACUAUUUGAAAGUGUAACCAAGAUUAUUCUUAAUCGAUUUUGACAAAAUUUAAAGCUAAUUGCAUAUAAUUUGAAUCAUGCUGAUUAUUCUUAAUCGAUUUUGGGAAAAUUUAUAAUUGUUUAUGGUAGCUAUGAAACAUAUGUUCAAGUUAUCCUUAGAGAAUGUUUGAUUAUAUGCUAACAUUGACCCAAAUUUUGCCAAUUUUUCAUUUUAGUCCCUAGCUUUCUUCAAAUGUACAGUUUGAUCCUUUUUUAUUUCUUUUCUGUCUUUAGCCUUUCUUAUUUACCCAUUUGAUCCGCAGCACUCUCCAAUCGUCGAUAUAAUGUCUGAAUCAUCUUUUCAGAGUUUGCAAUUUGGACCUCAGACUUUUAAUUUCUUUCAUUUUUGUCCAUUUUUCGCUAAUUUCCUCCAAUCAUUUUUGCACCGAAUUUCUCCUAACAAAUGAAAUAUAUUCAAAAUUAAGCCAUUACAGCAAUCAAUCUAAUUCAAUGGGUCAAAUAAAUAUAAAAAAAAUACACUUAUCAAUGAGGCAAGAUCGUUCAAAAAAAUAGGUGAAGACACAUGACAAAAAGAGAGAAGAGACGGAGUUUGCUAGGAGACUUGUGGAGUACAUUCGAAUCAAAGUGAUAAUUAAGUGGUUAUUUAUGUCAUUUUGUAUACAUUUAAUUUAGCAAAUAAAAAAAAUACUGAAAAUGUCUGCAAAGAAAACACAACUAUGGGUAUAACAAAAGAUUUGCGUGGUGACAAUAUAGUCAUCCAUUGUUAAAACAAUCAAGGGAGAGUUUCGAAUAGGUUUUCAUCAAUUUCAAAUUUUUAUGCCGAAGGUUAUUCAUUUCAAACCAGAAGUAUUGCAUAGAAUAUGACUGGAUAAGUAUGCUGAUUGUUCUUAAUUGAUUUUAUGAGAAUUCUAAAUAGUUAAUGUUAUUUGAUCAAUUGCCGAAUAAAAAAAUAAUUAGGAUUGAAAAAAACUAAUUUAACAUGGUAAACUCAGUCUUACAGACUCAAAUUAAAUUCCACUUCAAAAAAGGAUACUUUCAUUUCAAACUUUUGAAACUAAUGUUGAUUGUUCAUUUACUAUCCGAUUUAGGUUGGCCUUACGUGCAGAAUUAAUCUAUUAAAAGCAACAAAUCACUUUUUAAUAGUUUCUAGAUGGUUAUUCAAACAGUCCAAUUAUCCUAAGCUAAAUUACCGUAUUUUCUACUUUGAAAACAAUAAAUAACACCAAUAUUGUUGACGGAGAAAUCUCAACUAAGUAAAAACUCCGGAACCAAAUCAGUUACCUCCACUAUAGAUAAUGAGCUUUACAGUUAGAUACUAUCUAACCAACUCUACAAGACUUUUCGAUCUACGUCCUAUAAUCUUCAAGAUACCACUGUCUCCUCCAACUCCCCGAUCUUGUACAAUUGUCUUUUUCAAGUGGAAUUCCAAGAAUCUUCAAUUCUUGUGCUUUUUCUGCGCUUUUAGUCUAACCUUCCUCAAUCUUUUAAAUGAAGCUCAUUUUGCAUGUAUAUUUUGAUCUUUUAUUUUUUCUUCCCUAACUUUGAGUAUACAUCUUUCACAUUUAUCAAUAUUUUUAAAACUCAUCAAUUUUUACAUUUUAAGUGCGACUAAAAUGAUCCCUGUAGCGAGCUUUAGGCUGGUUAACUUAAGUCAACUGACCAUAGGCACAAGGUUUUGAGACACCCUGCAUGCUUAAUUUCUCAAGUCAAAUAGGCUCUAAAGAAGAACAUAAGAUAUUGAACUUUGUAUUAUAAGGGGAUAUACUUGAGCAAAUGUGCAUGUACCAAUGCGAAUAUAAUGAAAAUGCACAUACAUGAAACUACCUAGAAAAGAAAAUAAACAAAUAUGAUGCAUGCAUAAAUCAAUGAGACAUAAUGAUAAACACAAGCAUGCACCAAGAUUACCUGGUCAGUUAGGUAAAGAGACAUUUUACCUUUAAGAGCACCGUGAUCUAUUUUAAAAUUUUCUUGGUCACUCUUUUUCACCCAAAUUUGCCUAGUGGGAGAACAAUUCCAAAACAAUUGUGUCACCAACUUGGUAAAUCGACUCACUCAAUCAGUGGAAUCAAAUCUAACCAACAAACUCCUGAUCUUUACUCCUAUUUAAGCUGUUGUUUCUAUGUCUGUUCAACAAUUGAUGACACCUAAGGCGUAUGUGUCCUAUCUAACUAUAGUGAAAGUAUGUAGGGAUAAACUAGGACUAAAGUUAUGUGGUCGUUGAUGUCUAUUCCUAGGUUGAUGGGUCCUACGCUGUCUAGUAGGCCUCUGUCCUACAAAUCCUUUAUUCUUUAGUUCAGGGUUAGGCGCAUGUUUAGAUUGGUCCUAUGCUGUCUAGUAGGCCUCUGUCCUACAAAUCCUUUAUUCUUUAGUUCAGGGUUAGGCGCAUGUUUAGAUCGGUCAGUGGCAAGAAUAAAAGUGAUCUUUGAAAUACUCACAUUGUUGUGAUUAUUCUCUUUAAAACCUAGACUUCCCUAUUACCAGUCGAUUUUCUCAUGAGGAUGUUAUCUAGUUUCAACGAACCUCUAGAAAAGGCAAGAAACUUUGAAUACUCAAUGUUGUUCAGAAGGUUCUUAACCUGGAUUUUUAACUUCUCAUUCUCAAUAGUUGGCAUACUAGCUUUCUUAGAGGACUUCUCAAGCUCACUAGUAAGAUUCUUAACCUGAGUAUCCAAGGAUUCAGUUACAGACUUUAACUUACUUAGGGAUAAGGUAAAUUCCUGAAGGUCAGUUAAAUGUUUCUCUCUCUCAGACUCAAGUUCAUUGACCUUAGCACACAAGGCUUUAUUCUUAGUCAUAAUCUUAAUAUACUCUUCAUACAUUUUAUCAUACACCUCAUGUAUAUCUUUCUCACUUUCAGAAUCUGAUUUCUCAUCACCAUCUACAUCCUUAACCUUUUCACUCUCCUGAUCAGAUCUACUCCUAAUCGUAGCAAUGAAGGUAAUGUAUUUCUUAUUCUCCUCAUGAAUGAUUUCUAAGAUAUCACAAACAUCUUUAGCAACCUCAUACAUUGAUACUCGCCUAAACACGUUAGGUAAUAUUGCCAUAAAUAGAGUAUGUAAGGCUUUACUAUUCCAAUUACACUUAUCUAAGUUCGUUUUAGUCCAAUUAGCAAUAGAAAUGGGAGUUAUUACAUUAUCAACUGUAGUACUAGCGGCAAUCCAACCAUUAACUACACUCAACCAAAUCCGUUCAUCCAUAAAUUUAAGGAAAGCUUUCAUCCUAACUUUCCAAUAUACAUAAUUACUGCCAUCAAAAUAUGGCAGGAUGGAUAGUGAACUACUCAUCUAAAUAAAUUAAGGUAAAGAAGGCUCUGAUACCACUUGAAAGUUCGUUUACCAUCCGAUUUAGUUUGACCUUACAUGUCGAAUUAUUCUAUUAAAAGCAACAAGUCACUUUUUUAUAGGUUCUAGAUGGUUAUUCAAAUAGUCAAAUUAUCCUAAGUUGAAUUACCACAGUUUGUACUAUGAAAGCAAUAAAUAGCACUAAUAUUGUUGACAGAGAAACCUCAACUGGGUAAAAAUUUCGAGACCAAGCCAGUUAUCUGUAAUAUCCCGAAAUUUCAUAGAAUAGAAUUUAAUUAUUGUGUGCUAUAUUUUAAUGUAUUGAAAGUUUAGGGACCAAAGUACAUAUAAAGUAAAUUUCAAUUUUUUUUGGGUUAAAAUGUAGAUGUUGACGGAGGGACAAUAAGUAUAUGAAUAUUAAACUCGUUGGAUAGAUGGUAAUUAAUCAUGCAUAUUAGGCUCGUAAAAAAGUUAAUUUCGAUUAGCGGAGCCCAAGUUAUCGAGAUCAAAAGAUAUNNNNNNNNNNNNNNNNNNNNNNNNNNNNNNNNNNNNNNNNNNNNNNNNNNNNNNNNNNNNNNNNNNNNNNNNNNNNNNNNNNNNNNNNNNNNNNNNNNNNNNNNNNNNNNNNNNNNNNNNNNNNNNNNNNNNNNNNNNNNNNNNNNNNNNNNNNNNNNNNNNNNNNNNNNNNNNNNNNNNNNNNNNNNNNNNNNNNNNNNNNNNNNNNNNNNNNNNNNNNNNNNNNNNNNNNNNNNNNNNNNNNNNNNNNNNNNNNNNNNNNNNNNNNNNNNNNNNNNNNNNNNNNNNNNNNNNNNNNNNNNNNNNNNNNNNNNNNNNNNNNNNNNNNNNNNNNNNNNNNNNNNNNNNNNNNNNNNNNNNNNNNNNNNNNNNNNNNNNNNNNNNNNNNNNNNNNNNNNNNNNNNNNNNNNNNNNNNNNNNNNNNNNNNNNNNNNNNNNNNNNNNNNNNNNNNNNNNNNNNNNNNNNNNNNNNNNNNNNNNNNNNNNNNNNNNNNNNNNNNNNNNNNNNNNNNNNNNNNNNNNNNNNNNNNNNNNNNNNNNNNNNNNNNNNNNNNNNNNNNNNNNNNNNNNNNNNNNNNNNNNNNNNNNNNNNNNNNNNNNNNNNNNNNNNNNNNNNNNNNNNNNNNNNNNNNNNNNNNNNNNNNNNNNNNNNNNNNNNNNNNNNNNNNNNNNNNNNNNNNNNNNNNNNNNNNNNNNNNNNNNNNNNNNNNNNNNNNNNNNNNNNNNNNNNNNNNNNNNNNNNNNNNNNNNNNNNNNNNNNNNNNNNNNNNNNNNNNNNNNNNNNNNNNNNNNNNNNNNNNNNNNNNNNNNNNNNNNNNNNNNNNNNNNNNNNNNNNNNNNNNNNNNNNNNNNNNNNNNNNNNNNNNNNNNNNNNNNNNNNNNNNNNNNNNNNNNNNNNNNNNNNNNNNNNNNNNNNNNNNNNNNNNNNNNNNNNNNNNNNNNNNNNNNNNNNNNNNNNNNNNNNNNNNNNNNNNNNNNNNNNNNNNNNNNNNNNNNNNNNNNNNNNNNNNNNNNNNNNNNNNNNNNNNNNNNNNNNNNNNNNNNNNNNNNNNNNNNNNNNNNNNNNNNNNNNNNNNNNNNNNNNNNNNNNNNNNNNNNNNNNNNNNNNAGAUAGUGAAAAAAUUGUAAGAUAUAAUAGUGGAAAUUAUAAAGAAAAAGGUAAUAUAAGUAGCAUAGAUUUAGAAUUACUUGCAAUUAAUUAUGCAUUAAAUUCUUUUGAAUUAUUCAUUAUUUCUAAAAAAGAAAUUACUUUAAGAACAGAUUGUGAAGCAAUAAGUAGAAUAAUUAAAAAUAAAGAAUAUGAUUGAUUAUUUCUUGCAGAUGCAAAGACCAAGAGGUCCCAGGCCAGGAUUGCCNNNNNNNNNNNNNNNNNNNNNNNNNNNNNNNNNNNNNNNNNNNNNNNNNNNNNNNNNNNNNNNNNNNNNNNNNNNNNNNNNNNNNNNNNNNNNNNNNNNNNNNNNNNNNNNNNNNNNNNNNNNNNNNNNNNNNNNNNNNNNNNNNNNNNNNNNNNNNNNNNNNNNNNNNNNNNNNNNNNNNNNNNNNNNNNNAUAAUUUAUGGAUUUCUUAUAAUAAGAAUCCUAAAGACCAAAAAUACUUUUUAGCAUGUUUAAAUGCUCUUUCAGAACAUUUUAGUCAAGACCAUAAAAAAUUUAAGUGUUAUGUUGUUUUACAAGGUAGACUUCCAGGAAUUUAUCAUACCUGGUUAGAAGUCUCAGAUUGCAUAAAAAAUUUUCCAAAUCCUCUUUAUAAAGGAUUUUAUUCAAUUUCAGAAGUAUUAGAAGAAUGUAGAAAAUUUUUAGGAAUUAAUUAUUUUGUUGCCCCUUCUUUAAAGAAUGUUUCAGAUCAGCCUUUAGAUUAUGUUUCUAAGUUUUGUGAACAUUGUGAAUUUAUGAUUAAGAAUUUUAAAAUUUUAAAUGAAUCCAAUCAGUCUUUACAACAAAAAAAAUUAAUUUUACAAAAGAAAAUUUCUGAAUUAGAACAAGAAAUCAUUAAUUUAAAGAUCUCAAAUCCAAUUGUUCAGACACAAGCAGGUACUAUAGAGCCCAAGAAUUCUAUAGCUAGUCCAGUUCAAACGGAAGCUGGUAAAGACUUAUCAAAUCCGUUUAUGGUUCUGGGCUUACCAAAAGCUCAACAGACUCAGGGGACUGUUGAUUCUCCUACUUUUCAAUUUAAUCAGACUCAACAGGCUGAAAAUCCUGUUACAGAAAAUAAAAAUAUUUCUGAAGACCAGACACAGCAGACUGGAAAUUCUGCUACUAGACUUAUAAGUCCAAUGGAUCUUAAACAGAAAAGCCCAAUUAAUUUUCCAGAAUCAUUUCAAUCAGCUCAAGAUCCAGAAUAGAUUUCUCAAUCAGAUAUUAGAAGAAUCAAAGAAAUGAUUGAUAAGAUUGAAGAAAUACAGCAACAAGUUAAACAAAGUACUACAAAGAAAAAGAAAAUACAGAUUAAAAAGAAAAAUAAAGGCAAAAAGAAAAUUGAACAAGAAAAAGCUUUGGAUAAUUUUGAAAACAAUAAUUCAGAAGAAGAUGAUAAUCCAGAAGGAUGUACUGACGGAGGAGACUCUUUAGACAGCAUUGGCAGACACAAUUAUGAAACAAGAUAAGGAUUCAUUCAGACAUUUGACAAAAAGUUAUGGUGAUAGACAAGAGUUUUCAGACUAGACCCAAUCACUUGAAGACUUUUGUCCAAGAUUUCAAGAAAAAAUCAACAAUUAUUGUACGAAAAGUAGAAUCUUUACUGUUUUCUUUUUGAAAAAUUUGUAAAGAAUCUUACUGUUUUAUAAAGUAAGAUUUGAUAGUAUAGCUUUUUACUGUUUUCUUUUUGACGUUUUGAAAAAAACAAAGAUUCCUUGUUUUUGAAAAACGCUUCCUCUCUCUUUUCUCUCCUAUANNNNNNNNNNNNNNNNNNNNNNNNNNNNNNNNNNNNNNNNNNNNNNNNNNNNNNNNNNNNNNNNNNNNNNNNNNNNNNNNNNNNNNNNNNNNNNNNNNNNNNNNNNNNNNNNNNNNNNNNNNNNNNNNNNNNNNNNNNNNNNNNNNNNNNNNNNNNNNNNNNNNNNNNNNNNNNNNNNNNNNNNNNNNNNNNNNNNNNNNNNNNNNNNNNNNNNNNNNNNNNNNNNNNNNNNNNNUCCGGUAGGUAUGCUUUAUAGUUCUAAGAUAUGGUGCUAAGAGUUAAUAUUAGUUCCGGAUCUUGUAAGAACAAUUUUUGUUCAUAAAUUUUUCAUUUUGUAAAAGUUUUAUGAUUUUUGUAAAGAGUUUUAUGUUUCACGCUGAGUAUAUGAUAAUAGCAUGUCUUAACUCCAAGUUAAAAGUUUAAACUGUUUUUAAAAUAAGCCCUGAGUGACCUCUCAAAGCGUAAAGGCCCAGUGAAGAGGCUAGGAGACGCAUCGAAGAGGGAAAGGGAUCACUGUUUUAAGAAUUCUUGUUAAGGGAGUGCCAGUGGUGUCCUUACAAGAAUGGAGUUAGGCCCAAAUUCAUAUAUCUCAGAUGGCAUGAUUUAAAAAAAAAAAAAAAAAAAAAAAAAAGAGAGAUAUUAUUUUAUCAAAAGAAAAAGACAUCUAAAUUAAGAAGAGUACUGAGUAGGAUUUUUCAUAAUUUGUUUUAACAACCCCCUACAACAACCUUCAAAUCCUUGAAAUAACCUUUUUCAGGGACCCCCCCUUCUUUGGUAUCAUAGCUUUUGUUCCGAUGCUGGUGAUUUCAGUAUAUUUCUUCAGAUUUUGGAAAAGGUAUAACUCUUUUAAUCCUUAGAAAAUACUUAAUUGUUUUAUGAUUUUUAGAUUUUUAUUUGUAGAUCUAGAAAAAAUAUUCUAUAGUUUUACAUUUUAUAAAGAAAUAGAAGAGAUUUUUGAAUCCGGUAUAUAAUUAAUUUCUUUUGAAAAAUAUAAAUCUAUAGACUAUUUAUUUGCUAUAUUACAAGUGACUAAAAAUUUACAACUAGAAUUAAAAGAACAGAUUUUAUAUAGAUCUUUAAUUUCAGAAUUUAGAGAAGAAUAUUUUAUAAAUAGUUUUGAUCAGAUAUUUAUAUCAGAUUUAAAAUUAAGGAUUGAAUUAGAUAAUAUAGAUAAUAAUUAUUUAUCAGAUCAUACAAAUUUUUCAUUAGAUUCUUUUUAUUAUUCAGAUUAGAGUUUUAAAACUGGAUCUUUUAAUAAAAGAAAAUAAUAAAUUAACUAGAGAAUUAAGUACUUUUGGAAAAAGAAUCUUUAAUAUUGAGAAAGAUAUUAAUAAAAUUCGUGAAAACCUAGAUUUUAUUAAAGAACAAAAUUUAACAAUUUUAAACAAAAUUUCUAGAGUAGAAGAUAAAGAAAAAUUUCCAGAUCUUAAGACUACAGAAGCAAUAGAAAAUAUAAAUAAAAAAUUAAAUAAUAUAGAAAAUAAACUAAAUCAAGAAAUUGAAAAUAUAAUAAAUAAUCUAGACAGAUUAAGUUUAAAAAAUACAGGUAAAGAAAAAAUAACUAAAAAAUUAUCUACAACAUUUUAUAAAAUAUGAAUAAUUUUCCUGGUAGAUCAAGAACUAUUAGAGAAGUAGGAUCAUCUUCAGAACCCUAUGAUAGAGGUAGACAUAGUACUUCUAAUAUAAGUACAAAUAUAAUAGAAAGAAUUUUACAUAGACAGCCUCAGUAUAAUCAGAAUAUAGAAGAACUUAUAGAUCCUGAACAAGAUUAUAAUAGAUUUCAAACUCAUGGUCUACAAUUACUUAAUCCAGAAAAUCUAUAUAAUAGAGGAAUUUUUGAAUCAAGAACCCAAUUUUUUAGACAUACUAGAGAAGUAUCAAUUCAAUGUUUAGAUGGUCAAGUAAGACAAUUAUCAUUAAUAUCAGAAGAAUCUAAAAAAGAAUUAAGAAAAAAGAAUUUUAGAUUUAUGCAUCUAGGAUUAAUAGUAAUAGGAAUUAAAGGAUUAAUGAGAAAAAAUUUAGGAAAUAAAGUUUUAUUAACUAUUUAUGAUAAAAGAAUCCAAAAUAUAGAAAAGAGUAUGAUAGCUAGUACAGAAGUAGAUAUGAAUGAUAAUAAUGGAAUUAUAUAUUGUAAUCCAGAUUUCUUAUUAACCAUAAAAGAUUUUUCAGAAAAAAUUAAAAUAGGAAUUCAAACACAUGGAUAUGAAGAUGUUGUUUCAGGAGAAAACUUAUUAAUAAGUAUAGGAUUUUUAGGAAGAUGUAGUAAUAAUUCCCAAACAAAAUAUAAAUUAUACAUAGAUAAAGUAAUAAAUUUAAUGAGUAGUAAAGGAAUAAAAAUGAUUAAGCCUAAAACNNNNNNNNNNNNNNNNNNNNNNNNNNNNNNNNNNNNNNNNNNNNNNNNNNNNNNNNNNNNNNNNNNNNNNNNNNNNNNNNNNNNNNNNNNNNNNNNNNNNNNNNNNNNNNNNNNNNNNNNNNNNNNNNNNNNNNNNNNNNNNNNNNNNNNNNNNNNNNNNNNNNNNNNNNNNNNNNNNNNNNNNNNNNNNNNNNNNNNNNNNNNNNNNNNNNNNNNNNNNNNNNNNNNNNNNNNNNNNNNNNNNNNNNNNNNNNNNNNNNNNNNNNNNNNNNNNNNNNNNNNNNNNNNNNNNNNNNNNNNNNNNNNNNNNNNNNNNNNNNNNNNNNNNNNNNNNNNNNNNNNNNNNNNNNNNNNNNNNNNNNNNNNNNNNNNNNNNNNNNNNNNNNNNNNNNNNNNNNNNNNNNNNNNNNNNNNNNNNNNNNNNNNNNNNNNNNNNNNNNNNNNNNNNNNNNNNNNNNNNNNNNNNNNNNNNNNNNNNNNNNNNNNNNNNNNNNNNNNNNNNNNNNNNNNNNNNNNNNNNNNNNNNNNNNNNNNNNNNNNNNNNNNNNNNNNNNNNNNNNNNNNNNNNNNNNNNNNNNNNNNNNNNNNNNNNNNNNNNNNNNNNNNNNNNNNNNNAAAUGUCUGAAUGAAUCCUUAUCUUGUUUCAUAAUUGUGUCUGCCAAUGCUGUCUAAGGAGUCUCCUCCGUCAAUACAUCCUUCUGGAUUAUCAUCUUCUUCUGAAUUAUUGUCUUCAAAAUUAUCCAAAUCUUUUUCUUGUUCAAUUUUCUUUUUGCCUUUAUUUUUCUUUUUAAUCUGUAUUUUCUUUUUCUUUGUAGUACUCUGUUUAACUUGUUGCUGUAUUUCUUCAAUUUUUUCAAACAUUUCUUUAAUUCUUCUAAUAUCUGAUUGAGAAAUCUGUUCUGGAUCUUGAGCUGAUUGAAAUGAUUCUGGAAGGUUAAUUGGGCUUUUCUGUUUAAGAUCCAUUGGACUAAUAAGUCUAGUAGCAGAAUUUCCAGUCCUAGUAGCAGAAUUUCCAGUCUGCUGUGUCUGGUCUUCAGAAAUAUUUUUAUUUUCUGUAACAGGAUUUUCAGCCUGUUGAGUCUGAUUAAAUUGAAAAGUAGGAGAAUCAACAGUCCCCUGAGUCUGUUGAGCUUUUGGUAAGCCCAGAACCAUAAACGGAUUUGAUAAGUCUUUACCAGCUUCCGUUUGAACUGGACUAGCUAUAGAAUUCUUGGGCUCUAUAGUACUUGCUUGUGUCUGAACAAUUGGAUUUGAGAUCUUUAAAUUAAUGAUUUCUUGUUCUAAUUCAGAAAUUUUCUUUUGUAAAAUUAAUUUUUCUUGUUGUAAAGACUGAUUGGAUUCAUUUAAAAUUUUAAAAUUUUUAGUCAUACAUUCACAAUGUUCACAAAACUUAGAAACAUAAUCUAAACGCUGAUAUGAAACAUUCUUUAAAGAAGGGGCAACAAAAUAAUUAAUUCCUAAAAAUUUUCUACAUUCUUCUAAUGCUUCUGAAAUUGAAUAAAAUCCUUUAUAAAGAGGAUUUGGAAAAUUUUUUAUGCAAUCUGAGACUUCUAACUAGAUAUGAUAAAUUCCUGGAAGUCUACCUUGUAAAACAACAUAACACUUAAAUUUUUUAUGGUCUUGACUAAAAUGUUCUGAAAGAGCAUUUAAACAUGCUAAAAAGUAUUUUUGGUCUUUAGGAUUCUUAUUAUAAGAAAUCCAUAGAUUAUCUAAAAUACAUUUUUCUGAUUUUGUAACUGAAAUAUGGGAUAAUGUCUUAAAACUAAUAUUACUGUUUAGAAAACAAAGUAAUUCUACAUUACUAAAUCUUAACUUAUCAUGAGUCUGUGCUAAAUUAGUCUGAGAUAAUGAUGAACUUGAACUGCCAAUUGUUGACAAUCCUGGCUUGGGACCUCUUGGUCUUUACAUCUGCAAGAAAUAAUCAAUCAUAUUCUUUAUUUUUAAUUAUUCUACUUAAAAUAUCUGCUAUCUGAUUAUCACUACCUUUAAUAUGUUCAAAAUUAAUUACUAAUUUAGUAUUAGUAAUUCUAUCUAUAAAAUUUAACCAUCUUCUCUAUUACUUCUUUUAUUUUCUAAUUUCAUUUUAUUAACAAAACUUACUAUUACUUCACAAUCUGUUCUUAAAGUAAUUUCUUUUUUAAAAAUAAUGAAUAAUUCAAAAGAAUCUAAUGCAUAAUUAACUGCAAGUAAUUCUAAAUCUAUGCUACUUAUAUUACCUUUUUCUUUAUAAUUUUCACUAUUAUAUCUUACAAUUUUUUCAUUAUCUUUAUCUGCAUAUUUAUUGGGUUUUGCAAUUAAAAUUGCUCCCCAUCCUAUUAUACUUCCAUCUGUUUCUAUAAUUAAAAAAUCUGUUUCUAAUGGCAUAGAUAAUUUAGGUAAAUCUUUUAAUUUCUCUUUUAUUUUUUGAACUAAUUUAAUAUCUUCUAUAUUAAAAUAUCUUCGACCUUUUGGUGAAGUUUUUCCAUAUAAAGGUCCUGCAAUUUUUCCUAAAUCUUUAAUAAAGGGUCUAGCAUAAUUAACUAAUCCUAAAAAUUUUUGUAACUGUUUAAGGUCUUCAAGUUUAUCUGGAAAAUCUAAAGCUUUUUGAGCUAUAUGAGGUUGUAACUCUAUUUUUCCUUUUCCUAUAUUUACUCCUAGAAAUUCUAUAUAUUCUUUAAAUAAAAAUAUUUUCUUUUUAUUUAUAAUUAAACCAUGUCUAAUAAAUUCUGAAAAGAGAAUUUGUAAAUGACCUCUAUGUUCUCCCUUAUUUUUACUAAAUACUAAAAUAUCAUCUAUAUAAACUAUAAUAAAUUUAUUAUGUUUACUGAAAAUACUAUCCAUUUUUCUUUGAAAAAUACUAGGGGCAUUUUUUAAUCCAAAUGGCAUAACUAACCAUUCAAAAUGUCCUUCUGGACUAGUGAAGACUGUCCAUUCUAUUGAAUCUGGGUGCAUUUUUACUUGCCAAAAAUCGAAUUUUAAAUCAAACUUACUAAAAAUAUUACAAUCUUGAAUCUUAUUUAUUAAAACUGUCUUAUCUGGAAUAUUAUAUGCAUCAUCUAUUGUAUUAUCAUUUAAUCUUUUAUAAUUAAUUACCAUUCUACUUUUUCCUCUAAUAAUUUCUGAAUGUUUUCUACUAUAAAAGCUGCUGAUCUGUGUGGACUUUCUGAUUUUUUAAUUACUCCUAAUUUUAAUAAAUCUUUUAUAUGCAUCUUAAAAUCUUCCUGAUCUUGGUUUGUAGCUUCAAUAUUUUUUGUUUUUAUUAUAUAUUCUGGAUUUUUUAUUUUUAUUUCACAAAAAACUUUAUCUUUUUCCCAAUAUUUUAAUAUAUUUUCUCCUAAAAUUUCUAAUUUUUCUAGUUUACUAAUCAUAUUUUCUAUGUCUUGUUCUGUUACUAACAGAUUAUAUAUUUUUUCAAUUUCUACAAAAUCUAAACAUAUUUCUUCUUCUUCCUUAAAACUUUCAUAAUAUUCUUCUAAAAAAUUUAAAUUUUCUAAUUCUUCUUUUUCUAUUAAUUGACAUUCUCUUUCUUUACUGCACUCACAUUCUUUUUCUUUUUCUAUAUAUAUAUAGUGACAUGGAGCAGCCUUUGGAAUUGGAUAUUAAUUGAUUAACUAAACAUUUCAUUUAAAAAGGAUGCAAUAAUAAAAAUGAGAAGAUUGAUGGGAGGCCACGUGACUAGUGGUAGAAAACUAAUUCCCUUUUCUAUGUAAAAAGUGCCACGUGUAUUGUAAUGAAAUGAUUGUUGGGAGGUAUGGUUAGUUGGUAAGAUUUGGGUUAGUAUUUUGUUAGACAUAUGGUUUUUUCAACUUUAUCCCAUUUACCCACUAUCUCCACACAUUUUCCCAUGGGUAUUACUGUAUAUGUAUAUGGAUGCACCACAGAGAAUAUAGACACACAAAUAUAUGUGCAUUGCUCACAGUUAUAGUAGAGGCAGGAAUCGAAAAGAAAAGAAAAGAAAAGAAGGGAACGUGAUUCUUGUUUUAUCUUCCAAAAAUUAAAGCAUUUUAACAAGGUAGGAUAACAAGGAACAGUGUUUUAUGUCAUGUUUAAUUAUUUUAUUUACAUGUUGAUGAAUUUUUUACUCAUGAAAGUUAAAGUUAUGAUAUAAAAUGCUAUGAUAUGAAUGAUAUGGCCAUUUUUGGUACAAUGAUAUGAUAUGAUAUGAGCUUUUACCAAAUUUUAAAGAUAUGAGAUGGUAUGAUAUUCUGACACGUGUUUAAAAUUAUUAUUCGAGAUCGCACCAUUAAUUUUUAUAUCCUACUGAGUAUUCUCAUGUCUCACUCUUUUACACCUCACAGGUUAGAUCGGAUUGUGUCGGAGCAUGGGGGUUUGAUGGUGUGGUUGUGCCUUGUCUUGUUGGACGAAAAUCUAAAGAAUUCAGCAUGUAACUUUAUUUCCUUGCCAUAGACAUUUAUUUAAGACUAAAUUAUCAUUUAUGUUUAUUUGUUCCGUUGAUAUUUUUGUAAUUGCCCGUAAUAAGAUUGAAAACUGCAGUAAUACAUUAGUGCUCUCCAUUAUAUGUGUGGACGUCUAUCCUCAAUUACAGUUGAUAAACAAUCCCUUUUUGUGGUAUGUCUAGUGACUCCAAUUAACUUUACAGAAUUACUCAAUUUGGCGGAAUAUGCUUGUUGACAAGGAAAAACAGUAAAUUAAAUUUGCAUUUUUAAACUUAAUGUUUGAUUUAAAUAUUAUUUCUUCUACCAAAUUCACUGCUUAAAGUAAUUGAACAUAUCUUUACUGUCAAAUUCACUUCAAAGUAAUAGAUGUUGACUGGCAGUCAAAUCCAUGCUAUGUAAUAAAUUUUCCCAUAGCCUUGUGAUGUAGUGUGUGGAUUUCUUUAAUAAAAUAAGGCAACUUUUGGUAGAAUUCUCUCAUUUUAGGGCUAUGUCCCAAGCCUUGAAGAAAGAGAAAAGUACAAUAUGCUUUGAAUUGGAGAUUGUUUUGUCCUAUAUAUAAUAUAUAUGUAUAUAUGGUAUUCAUCAGUGCAUGUGCAUGCAUGUGUAUAUAUAUAUACAAAGUCAAAUGGUUAAUUAUUUCACCCGUGUACAAAAGAAGAAGAGGGUUUUGUCUUGAAUUCUUAAAGUACGAUCAAUUUUAUGUGCUUUUUUUAAAAUGUACACGUUAAAGUUAUGACAUAGAAAAAUAUUCUUUCUUUCCUAUCUAUUAAUUAAUAUAUAUCUCUUUUCCAUGGAUUCAGGUAAAUUACCCUUUCAUAAUUACAUAUUUUGUUGCAUGCCACACUUCCAAAAUUUUCAAGCGAUUCAAACCUUUAAAAAUUUUGGGUCGUUACAUUACAUCCACUAUAGACAAUGGGCCUUACAGUUAGAUGCUGCCUAGCCAAUUUCAUUAGACUUCCUGUAAUCUUCAAGAUAUUGUUGUCUCCUCUAGCUUUCUGAUCUUGUACAAUUUUCUCUUCCAUGUGGAGUUCCAAGAAUCUUCAAUUCUUAUGCUUUUUUUGUGCUUGUAGUCUAAAAUUCUUCAAUAUUCAGUAACCUCUGAAGUUUCGAUUGAGAAUGUACCUCCCUUACAGUGUUAAGGAAGCUAAGUGUUUUGGACUCAAGGAUUUGAUGUUUUCCCAAGUAUGUGGUUGUAGAAUCUCAAGGAUAAAUGUAUUGAAUGAAGGUAGGAACAAGCUCUUGGAUCUUUAAAGAACGAUUUGAAUAUGUUUUGCAAGAGAGGCACAAUGAACAACUACCACGGAAAAUCAUGCAAGACUUACGUAUUUAUAGUUACCGAUGUUUAGGUAUUAUAGGCUGUGUAAAACUUUUCAAAGUCACGAAUCAGGGUUGGCCGAAUAACACCGUUGCUCAAGCGAUCCUCCAACGAGAAGCAGGCAAUGAUGUUUCGCUCGAGCAAAGUCUUGCGACAGGCGAGCGAUGAUCAUUCUGUUUUUGUUGCUCAAGCAAUGUUUUGGCGAGCAAUGUCUUCCGGACUCGAACCCUAACUUACCUAACCCAUCUAUACAAAAUUGCACCAACUUCUUGACUUUUACACAUGUUCAAUUUAGUCCUUUUAGUUCACAGAAUCGCCAAUGAUAAAACCUAACAAAUAUAAUUAUUGAUGACGAAGAAACUAAAACAAAGAAUGCAAAAUGAAUUAAGGUCCCAAUUAUCCAGAAUCAUUUCACGACAGUUCACAAGGAAAAACGAAAAUCACAGCAUACCUUUGAAAAUUGAUUAGGAGAAACUCAGAAGAAACAAGAAUAAAUAUUCGAGUUAUAUUAAUCAUAAUUGAUAUGUUAGGCUGAGAUCAAAAAGUUUACUUGUAAGUAUAUAUUUAUGUUAAAAUUGUUUUCGUUUAAUUUGGUUAUACUUGCAAAUAUGCAAUUUCAAUGUCUUGAUAAUGAAAUAAAUGUUAUUUUCAAGGAGAGCAAUUUUUUGCUUAAAAAUAUGUUGAAAGAAAAGUUUGGAGAUAAAAUUAACUUUAACUUUCCUAAGCGUAUAAUAAAUGAUGAAUAGUUCAAAAUGUGAUUGAAAUUAAUGUUGACCUUUGACUUAUUUUAUAAAUUAUUUAUGAAUUGGUUGUCAAAUGGAGGCUUAAUUACUUCUUAUGUGUUGCAAAUUAUAUAAAGAUAAAAAAGUUUUAUUCUCAGCAAAACAUAGAUAAUAGAAACCGACAAGCUUCAAUGGCUGCAAAUUUUGAGUUUUUUAUAAUUAGAUCAAGUCUUAUCAUCAUUUAUAACCUACCCUAGUAAUUAACGAGAAAUUAACAAUUUCAUGUCGAAAUUCCAAUCCAAUCACACAGACUGUGUAUUUAUUAGGAAGAAAAAGAAGAGAUAAAUAUAAAACAAAAUAAAUACCUAUAUCAAUUAAACAGCUUCUUAAUGAGAAAAUCCAUAACUGAUCCAGUUUCUGGCUUUCUGAGAUAUUGACAUAAAAUAAGCUGUUCUAUUAUUUUACUCCAACAGUUCCUAAUUAUAUAUAAUUUGUAUUGGUAUUAUUCAACUAUUAAAUAUUCAAAUUAGAUUCUGGAAUCCGUACAAAUUGGACUAUGUUGAUAGAAAAAAAGCUUUAGAAAAAAAAGCUAAAGCGCAUCUGUGAGAAAUAAUAAUCUUUUUCUUAUUCAUGGCCUUUGAAUGAAAGGCAAAAGAAUGUAUAGAUUACGCAAAUGGAAUAGAUAGUCAAUAAUGGCCUACUAUGUUAUAGAUAGAGCCAAUUUGCAUUGACCCGGUGAUAGAACUUAAACCACUUGUUAUGAAUGUUAAAGGAAAGAAAUAUGGAUAAAAUGAAAAUAAUGAAUCACACAGAAACACAAUAUUUACGUAGAAAUCCAAAUUCGGAAAUACCACGCACAGAGAGGCGAAAUAUUUACUGUAAUCAAUAGCAAUGAAAUACAAAAGGAGGUCCACAUGACAAAUUAAAAUUUUCCCAAUAAGAAAAAGAAACAUAUUUGUCAUGUGGACCUAUAUAAUAUGGAGAAACCAAUUGAAAUGAAACAGCUUCAUGAUGGGCUCUAAAGAAAUUCUAGACAUGGAUAAAAGUCUCAUGUUCAAAUAUAUUCACACCAAAUAGGCCGGCUGUUGUAUUAUAUUGAAAUCUCAACAAGUAGAUAUACAGCGUAGAAGCUGUACAAAUGUGACGAUUAAAGCUCCAACUAGUCAGCCCAUUAAAAAUAUUUUCUUAUUCAAAGCAGACGUGGGAAAAUAGAAAUGGAAUAAACUGAUUAUAAACCGAAAAUGUAUCGUCAAAUGGCGUGCUAAUAUAUUAAAUUUUAAGGAUCAGUUUGACUAUAAUAUUCAAAUGUUAUCUACUACACCACCGCUAUAUAUACCAUGUUCAGCUGCUGUUUCCUGCACAGCUCUUCACUUCUUCUCUAUUGUAAUUCACUUAACUUUUCAACUAUUCAAGGUAAAUAUGGGUAUCUCCAACUAUUUCCAUGAACUCAAAACUAAUGUUUCUCACAAGAGGCUGUUCAAGGCUUUGAUCACCGAUAACCACGAUGUUUUGCCGAAAGUCUCCCCAUCCAUCAAGAGCAUUGAGACAAUUGAAGGAGAUGGUGGUGCUGGAAGUGUCAAAAAGACAAACUUUUCUGAAUCUGAAGGUUAGUCCAAAUAUUAAAAUCGCGAAAAAAGAAUGAGAACGUAAUAUUUUGUAUAUAUGCAGUACUAUUGUGUCAAAGGUCCUUCUUCUUCUUUUUCUUUUUUUUUUCUCCUUUUUUUAAAAUUUUUUAAAUUUUUAAAUUUUUUAUUAUUUUUACGACACCGGACAAAAUAAAACAUGUCCGAAGUUUUGUUCAUUUUACAUACUCUCAUGAGCAUUUGCGUUAUAUAACAGGGUCUCACUUCAAGCACAUGAAGACCAAGGUCGACUCCUUGGACAAAGAAAACUACGUGGCCAAGUUCACUUUGGUUGAGGGAGAUGCACUUGGUGACGAGCUUGAAAAGGUAUGUUACGAGAUGAAAUUCGAGGACUCAAAGGAUGGAGGAUGUGUCCUCAAGAUCACCAGUGAGUAUCAUUCAAAGGGUGAUGUUGUACCUAAAGAAGAGGAUAUUAAAGCAGCCCAGGAACAUACUAUGGGACUCUACAAGUCUUGUGCAGAUUACCUGAUUGCCAAUCCUCAUGUUUGUGUCUAAAUAGUUUCUAGUUAUAUUUCCGAUUUUAUGUAUUUCCUUAAUAAAGAACUUUGUUCUACUCUUCCAUUGAAGUUUGUUCUUAUCCAACUGUUAUCAAAAUUUACGGUACAACGUUAAGAUGAAAUUUUAGCGAAGUUCAGGUCUUUGCCUUAAUAAAGUGAAUUUGUUUGUUUAUUUCCAUCCACGUCUAUUUAUUCCUAUUUCAUGUCGAAUUUUCAAUGAAUAGUACCAAAUUUCAUCAAAUUACAUGUGAGGUUGCUAUUUAUAUCUGUUUCGUUGCACGUAAAUUUCAAUUGCAAAGAAAUUUUAUCAAGAUAUGGACUACUUAAAACUUCCGUUUGAUUGCAAAGAUGAAAAAGGCAAAUCAAUUCGAUAAAAGUUGGAAAAGAAAAACCACCAAAACCAUACGAAUGCAUUUUCCAUAGAAUUGGCCAAAAACAUGUUUUUAAAUGUUUGUAACCCAGAAUUCGAACUCCAUUUUCACUUUUGUAUCAAACAGCCAAAAUAGGAAAUGAAUUCUUCGGAUAUGACAUUUUCCAUGAAAUUGAAGUCAAUCAAACGGGGCCUAAGAUCCCUUUAAUAAUUACCUGAUCCAAGAAAUGAAUAAGGACAGAAAAAGUUGUGGAAUAGUUACAUCUAACUUUUGUACAUUGGAUUUUUUGCAUAAUUAAUUGAAGUUACUUUUAGAGUCCGUUUGAUUGUAAAAAUAGAAUUUGGAUGGGAAAAAAACGAAUUCUAGGGAGUUGAAUUGUCUAGAAAGUGUUUUACUGGAAAUUGUCAUCUAUUAUGUUUGAUUGGUAUAAUUUUUCAUGUGAAAAAUGUUGAAAUAAAAAUAUUUUUUGGUAUUCGUCUGACUUUGUUUUACAUGAAAAUUGUCAAUUAAAUGGAUAAAAUUUAUUGGUAUUAGGGAUAAAAUUUGUUUCCAUUGCAAACAAAAAAACAAGAAAAUCAUCUAUUUUUUAGUGUUCGUUUGACUUUGUUUUACAAGGAAAUUGUUAAUUAAAGAAUCUCUCUCUUUUUUUUUUUUUAACAAUUAGGGUUAGAAUUUGUUGUCAUUGUUGAAAAAAAAAAAAAAUCCAAUUCCCAGCUACGCAAGAGGGAUACAAAUUCCUCAUUUUUGUGGAAAAUAGGGUCAUGAGUCAGAAAACUAGAAAAUUAAUUGCCAGGAAUAUAUUGCCUAUCAAAAAUGGCAAAAAGUGAAAAAUGGCAUUUUCAAUUCCAACUUUCAUGAAAAAUAUAGCAUAUCAAAUGGAACCUUACCAUUAGCACAUGAUUAUAAUAGAAAUAGUUAAUCAUAUAAUCCUUUUAUUUUUUAUUUUUUAUUUUUAUUUUUAUGAUUAGACUAAUAAGGAUAAUGAUUUUAAGUCCGGCAUAAGUUCAAAAUCAAGAGUGAACCCCGAGCUGUGGAUUCCACAACAGAAAUAUUGCAUACUAUUUGAAAGUGUAACCACGCUAAUUAUUUUUAAUCGAUUUUGACAAAAUUUAAAGCUAAUUGCAUAUAAUUUGAAAGGAUAAUCAUGCUGAUUAUUCUUAAUCGAUUUUGGCAAAAUUUAUAAUCGUUUAUGGUAGUUAUGAAACAUAUGUUCAAGUUAUCUUUAGAGAAUGUAUGAUUAUAUGCUAACAUUUGACCCAAACUUUGCCAAUUUUUCAUUUUAGUCCCUAGCUUUCUUCAAAUGUACAAUUUGAUCCUUUUUUAUUUCUUUUCAGUCUUUAGCCUUUCUUAUUUACCCAAUUGAUCCGUAGCACUCUCCAAUCGUCGAUAUAAUGUCUGAAUCAUCUUUUGAGAGUUUGCAAUUUGGACCUCAGACUUUUAAUGUCUUUCAUUUUUGUCCAUUUUUCGCUAAUUUCCUCCAAUCAUUUUUGCAUCGAAUUUCUCCUAACAAAUGAAAUAUAUUCAAAAUUAAGCCAUUAUAGCAAUCAAUCUAAUUCAAUGGGUCAAAUAAAUAUUAAAAAAAAUACACUUAUCAAUGAGGCAAGACCGUUCAAAAAAAUAAGUGAAGACACGUGACAAAAAGAGAGAAGAGACGGAGUUUGCUAGGAGACUUGUGGAGUACAUUCGAAUCAAAGUGAUAACAUUUAAUUUAGUAAAUAAAAAAAAUACUGAAUAUGUCUGCAAAGAAAACACAACUAUGGGUAUAACAAAAGAUUUGCGUGGUGACAAUAUAGUCAUCCAUUGUUAAAACAAUCAAGGAAGAGUUUCGAAUAGGUUUUCAUCAAUUUCAAAUUUUUAUGCCGAAGGUUAUUCAUUUCAAACCAGAAGUAUUGCAUAGAACAUGACUGAUAAGUAUGCUGAUUGUUCUUAAUUGAUUUUAUGAGAAUUCUAAAUAGUUAAUGUUAUUUGAUCAGUUGCCGAAUAAAAAACUAAUUAAGAUUAGAAACAACUAAUUUAACAUGGUAAACUCAGUCUUACAGACUAAAAUUAAAUUCCACUUCAAAAAAGGAUACUUUCAUUUCAAACUUUUGAAACUAAUGUUGAUUGUUCAUUUACUAUCCGAUUUAGGUUGGCCUUACGUGCAGAAUUAUUCUAUUAAAAGCAACAAGUCACUUUUUAAUAGUUUCUAGAUGGUUAUUCAAACAGUCCAAUUAUCCUAAGCUAAAUUACCGUAUUUUCUACUUUGAAAACAAUAAAUAACACCAAUAUUGUUGACGGAGAAAUCUCAACUAAGUAAAAACUCCGGAACCAAACCAACUAUAGAUAAUGAGCUUUACAGUUAGAUGCUAUCUAGCCAACUCUACAAGACUUUUCGAUCUACGUCCUAUAAUCUCCAAGAUACCACUGUCUCCUCCAACUCCCCGAUCUUUUACAAUUGUCUUUUUCAAGUGGAAUUCCAAGAAUCUUCAAUUCUUGUGCUUUUUCUGCGCUUUUAGUCUAACCUUUCUCAAUCUUUUAAAUAAAGCUCAUUUUGUAUGUAUAUUUUGAUCUUUUAUUUUUUCUUCCCUAACUUUGAGUAUACAUCUUUCACAUUUAUCAAUGUUUUUAAAACUCGUCAAUUUUUACAUUUUAAGUGCGACUAAGAUGAUCCCUGUAGCGAGCUUUAGGCCAGUUAACUCAAGUCAACUGACCAUAGGCACAAGGUUUUGAGGCACCCCGCAUGCUUAAUUGCUCAAGUCAAAUAGGCUCUGAAGAAGAACAUAAGAUAUUGAACUUUGUAUUAUAAGGGGAUACACUUGAGCAAAUGUGCAUGUACCAGUGCAAACAUAAUGAAAAUGCACAUACAUGAAACUACCUAGAAAAGCAAAUGAACAAAUAUGAUGCAUGCAUAAAUCAAUGAGACAUAAUGAUAAACACAAGCAUGCACCAAAAUUACCUGGUCAGUUAGGUAAAGAGAAAUUUUACCUUUAAGAGCGCCGUGAUCUAUUUUAGAAUUUUCUAGGUCACUCUUUUUCACCCAAAUUUGCCUAGUGGGAGAACAAUUCCAAAACAAUUGUGUCACCAACUUGGUAAAUCGACUCACUCGAUCAGUGGAAUCAAAUCUAACCAACAAACUCCUGAUCUUUACUCCUAUUUAAGCUGUUGUUUCUAUGUCUGUUCAACAAUUGAUGACACCUAAGGCGUAUGUGUCCUAUCUAACUAUAGUGAAAGUAUGUAGGGAUAAACUAGGACUAAAGUUAUGUGGUCGUUGAUGUCUAUUCCUAGGUUGAUGGGUCCUACGCUGUCUAGUAGGCCUCUGUCCUACAAAUCCUUUAUUCUUUAGUUCAGGGUUAGGCGCAUGUUUAGACUGGUCAGUGCCAGGAAUAAAAGUGAUCUUUGAAAUACACACAGUAUUGUAAUAUUCUCUUUAAAACCUAGACUUCCCUAUUACCAGUCGAUUUUCUCAUGAGGAUGUUAUCUAGUUUCAACGAACCUCUAGAAAAGGCAAGAAACUUUGAAUACUCAAUGUUGCUCAGAAGGUUCUUAACCUGGAUUUUUAACUUCUCAUUCUCAAUAGUUGGCAUACUAGCUUUCUUAGAGGACUUCUCAAGCUUGCUAGUAAGAUUCAUAACCUGAGUGUCCAAGGAUUUAGUUACAGACUUUAACUUACUCUGGGAUAAGGUAGAUUCCUGAAGGUCAGUUAAAUGUUUCUCUCUCUCAGACUCAAGUUCAUUGACCUUAGCACACAAGGCUUUAUUCUUAGUCAUAAUCUUAAUAUACUCUUCAUACAUUUUAUCAUACACCUCAUGUAUAUCUUUCUCACUUUCAGAAUCUGAUUUCUCAUCACCAUCUACAUCCUUAACCUUUUCACUCUCCUGAUCAGAUCUACUCCUAAUCGUAGCAGUGAAGUUAAUGUAUUUCUUAUUCUCCUCAGGAAUGAUUUCUAAGAUAUCACAAACAUCUUUAGCAACCUCAUACAUUGACACUCGCCUAAACACUUUAGGUAAUAUUGCCAUAAAUAGAGCAUGUAAAGCUUAAUUAUUCCAAUUACACUUAUCUAAGUUUAUUUUAGUCCAAUUAGCAAUAGAAAUGGGAGUUAUUACAUUAUCAACUGUAGUACUAGCGGCAAUCCAACCAUUAACUACACUCAACCAAAUCCGUUCAUCCAUAGAUUUAAGGAAAGCUUUCAUCCUAACUUUCCAAUAUACAUAAUUACUGCCAUCAAAAUAUGGCCGGAUGGAUAGUGAACUACUCAUCUAAAUAAAUUAAGGCAAGGAAGGCUCUGAUACCACUUGAAAGUUCGUUUACUAUCCGAUUUAGUUUGACCUUACAUGUGGAAUUAUUCUAUUAAAAGCAACAAGUCACUUUUUAAUAGGUUCUAGAUGGUUAUUCAGAUAGUCAAAUUAUCCUAAAUUGAAUUACCACAGUUUGUACUAUGAAAGCAAUAAAUAACACUAAUAUUGUUGACGGAGAAACCUCAACUGGGUAAAAACUUCGAGACCAAGCCAGUUUUCUGUAAUAUCCCGAAAUUUCAUAGAAUAGAAUUUAAUUAUUGUGUGCUAUAUUUUAAUGUAAUGAAAGUUUAGGGACCAAAGUACAUAUAAAGUAAAUUUCAAUUUUUUUUGGGUUAAAAUGUAGAUGUUGACGGAGGGACAAUAAGUAUAUGAAUAUUAAGCUCGUUGGAUAGAUCGUAAUUAAUCAUGCAUAUUAGGCUCGAAAAAAAAGUUAAUUUGGAUUAGCGGAGCCCAAGUUAUCGAGAUCGAAAGGUAUAUGUUUAAAUUAUAUUUUAGUUUAGUGUUUAAUGAAUAUAUAUAUAUAUAUAUAUAUAGGGUGACAUGUAGCAGCCUUUGGAAUUGGAUAUUAAUUGAUUAACUAAACAUUUCAUUUAAAAAGAAUGCAAUAAUAAAAAUGAUAAGAUUGAUGGGAGGCCACGUGACUAGUGGUAAAAAACUAAUUCCCUUUUCUAUGUAAAAAGUGCCACGUGUAUGGUAAUGAAAUGAUUGUUGGUAGGUAUGGGUAGUUGGUACGAUUUGGGUUAGUAUUUUGUUACACAUACGGUUUCCUCAACUUUAUCCCAUUUACCCACUAUCUCCACACAUUUUCCCAUGGGUAUUACUGUAUAUGUAUAUGGAUGCACCACAGAGAAUAGAGACACACACAUAUAUGUGCAUUGCUCACAGUGAUAGUAGAGGUAGGAACCAAAAAGAAAAGAAAAGAAGGGAACGUGAUUUUUGUUUUAUCUUCCAAAAAUUAAAGCAUUUUAACAAGGUAUGAUAUCAAGGUGCAGUGUUUUAUGUCUUGUUUAAUUAUUUUAUUUACAUGUUGAUGAAUUUUUUACUCAUGAAAGUUAAAGUUAUGAUAUAAAAUGCUAUGAUAUGAAUGAUAUGGCCAUUUUCGGUACAAUGAUAUGAGUUUUUACAGGAUUUUAAAGAUAUGAGACGGUAUGAUAUUCUGAUACGUGUUUAAAAUUAUUAUUCAAGAUCGUACCAUUAAUUUUUAUAUCCUACUGAGUACUCUCAUGUACUCACUCUUUUCUCUACACCUCACAGGUUAGGUCGGGUUGUGUCGGAGCGUGGCGGUUCGAUGGUGUAGUUGUGCCUUGUCUUGUUGGACGAAAAUCUCAAGAAUUCAGCACGUAACUUUAUUUCCUUGCCAUAGACAUUUAUUUAAGACUAAAUUAUCAUUUAUGUUUAUUUGUUCCGUUGAUAUUUUUGUAAUUGCCUGUAAUAAGAUUGAAAACUGCAGUAAUCUAUUAGUGUUCUCCAUGAUAUGUGUGGACGUCUGUCCUCAAUUACAGUUGAUAAACAAUCCCUUUUUGUGGUAUGUCUAGUGACUCCAAUUAACUUUACAGAAUUACUUAAUUUGGCGAAAUAUGCUUGUUGACAAGGAAAAAGAGUAAAUUAAAUUUGCAUUUUUAAACUUAAUGUUUUGAUUUAAAUAUUAUUUCUUCCACCAAAUUCACUGCUUAAAGUAAUGGAACACGUCUUUACUGUCAAAUUCACUUCAAAGUAAUAGAUGUUGACUGGCAGUCAAAUCCAUGCUAUGUAAUAAAUUUUCCCAUAGCCUUGUGAUGUAGUGUGUGGAUUUCUUUAAUAAAAUAAGGCUACUUUUGGUAGAAUUCUCUCAUUUUGGGGCUGUGUCCCACGCCUUGAAGAAAGAGAAAAGUACAGUAUGCUUUAAAUUGGAGAUUGUUUUGUCCUGUAUAUAAUACAUAUGUAUAUAUGGUAUUCAUCAGUGCAUGUGCAUGCAUGUGUAUAUAUAUACACAUACAAAGUCAAAUGGUAAAUUAUUUCACACGUGUACAAAAGAAGAAGAAGAGGGUUUUGUCUCGAAUUCUUAAAGUACGAUCAAUUUUAUGUGCUUUUUUAAAAAUGUACAUGUUAAAGUUAUGGCAUAGAAAAAUAUUCUUUCUUUCCUAUCUAUUAAUUAAUAUAUAUCUCUUUUCCACGGAUUCAAGUAAAUUACCCUUUCAUAAUUACAUAUUUUGUUGCAUGCCACGCUUCCAAAAUUUGAAUGAAAAUUUUGGUAGCGAUUCAAACCUUUAAAAAUUUUGGAUCGUUACAUUACAUCCACUAUAGACAAUGGGCCUUACAGUUAGAUGCUGCCUAGCCAAUUCCAUUAGACUUCCUGUAAUCUUCAAGAUACUGUUGUCUCCUCUAGCUUUCUGAUCUUGUACAAUUUUCUCUUCCAUGUGGAGUUCCAAGAAUCUUCAAUUCUUAUGCUUUUUUUGUGCUUGUAGUCUAACAUUCUUCAAUAUUCAGUAGCCUCUGAAUUUUCGAUUGAGAAUGUACCUCCCUUACAGUGUUAAGGAAGCUAAGUAUUUUGGACUAAAGGAUUUGAUGUUUUCCCAAGUAUGUGGUUGUAGAAUCUCAAGGAUAAAUGUAUUGAAUGAAGGUAGGAACAGGCUCUUGGAUCUUUAAAGAACGAUUUGAAUAUGUUUUGCAAGAGAGGCACAAUGAACAACUACCACAGAAGAUCAUGCAAGACUUGGGUAUUUAUAGUUAGCGAUGUUUAGGUAUUAUAGGCUAUGUAAAACUUUUCAAAGUCACGAAUUAGGGUUGGCCGAAUAACACCGUUGCUCAAGCGAUCCUCCAACGAGAAGCAGGCAAUGAUGUUUCGCUCGAGCAAAGUCCUGCGACAGGCGAGCGAUGAUCAUUCUGUUUUUGUUGCUCAAGCAAUGUUUUGGCGAGCAAUGUCUUCCGGACUCGAACCCUAACUUACCUAACCCAUCUAUACAAAAUUGCACCAACUUCUUGACUUUUACACAUAUUCAAUUUAGUCCUUUUAGUUCACAGAAUCGCCAAUGAUAAAACCUAACAAAUAUAAUUAUUGAUGACGAAGAAACUAAAACAAAGAAUACAAAAUGAAUUAAGGUCCCAAUUAUCCAGAAUCAUUUCAUGACAGUUCACAAGGAAAAACGAAAAUCACAUCAUACCUUUGAAAAUUGAUUAGGAGAAACUCAGAAGAAACAAGAAUAAAUAUUCGAGUUAUAUUAAUCAUAAUUGAUAUAUUAGGCUGAGAUCAAAAAGUUUACUUGUAAGUAUAUAUUUAUGUUAAAAUUGUUUUCGUUUAAUUUGGUUAUACUUGCAAAUAUGUAAUUUCAAUGUCUUGAUAAUGAAAUAAAUGUUAUUUUCAAGUAGAGCAAUUUUUUGCUUAAAAAUAUGUUGAAAGAAAAGUUUGGAGAUAAAAUUAACUUUAACUUUCCUAAGCGUAUAAUAAAUGAUGAAUAGUUAAAAAUGUGAUUGAAAUUAAUGUUGACCUUUGACUUAUUUUAUAAAUUAUUUAUAAAUUGGUUGUCUAAUGGAGGCUUAAUUACUUCUUAUGUGUUGCAAAUUAUAUAAAGAUAAAAAAGUUUUAUUCUCAGCAAAACAUAGAUAAUAGAAACCGACGAGCUUCAAUGGCUGCAAAUUUUGAGUUGUCUAUAAUUAGAUCAAGUCUUAUCAUCAUUUAUCACCUACCCUAGGAAAAGAGAAAUAAGUAAUUAACGAGAAAUUAACAAUUUCAUGUCGAAAUUCCAAUCCAAUCACACAUACUGUGUAUUUAUUAGGAAGAAAAAGAAGAGAUAAAUAUAAAACUGUUUCGCGCGGGUAGUCGCUAACAAUUAAAAGGGGAUCAGACGAUUGUGUAAGGAACAAACCUCUUGAGACAAAGUCCCAAAAAGGGGUGUUUUAUUGGCGAUGAUUUACAAUUGGAACAAAACAGAAUGCCUACAAGGAGCGCAAGCACACGAGUAUUGAAAGAAAUGUUUAAGUUUAAACUAAGAAAUUGAAAUUACAUAUUCUUUGUUUGAGAGUGUUUGAUUCGGGGUCCUUCUCUUUAUGUCUUCUCUUCUUUUUAUAUUCCCUUGAUGAUUUCUUCAUGACAAACCACUUGGAAACUGCUUGAUUGCUUUAUAACUACCCACUUUCUUUAUGGUGGUUAACUUGUCGUGGAAAUUCCAUCUCUAACUACUGCCAUUACUCUUUUCGUUCAACCACCUUCAAUUGGGUUCCUUGAAUCGUGGAAUGUGAUAAGGUUACUCAAUAACUGUUUCAGUAACUGCAUUUCUAGAUAACCAUAACAUUUUAUGUUUGCUAAGAUCAUGAGCGAUUCGAAGGUAUGGGCGAGAACAUGGUUAUUGCUUUGGGCAACUGUAAGGCACUCCAUUCGCUCAGAUCUUGGGCGUCUUGCAAGUUUGAGCGAUGAUGUUACUGUGUUCGUGGGCUCCCACUGCAUUCAAUAAUAAUCCUGUCUAGGCCUUUAUUAUGAAUUUCCCAAUUGAACUUCAUUCUUUGGGCUAUUUGAUUUGAGAAUUCCUCAAUUGGGCUUCAUUCGUUGGGCUAUUCGAUUUGGGCUGCACUUUAAAUGUGUCAACAAUUACCCCCAAUAUGGCAGAAUUAAUACUAAUUAUUAAUCUUUGCCAUAUUUAUUUUGUGUUUUCCAGUAACAUUUGAAAUUCCCAAGAAUUUCAAUCAUUAUUUCCUUCCAUAGCUUGAAAAGGUGCGACGUUACAAACCCUUAUAAACCCUAAAGACACGUCAUUUCCUCACAUCACUAAAUCACGCCUAAUUAUUUCGCGCUUCUUUCUCACAAUAUUACUAUUCAUUUUCUUGCUUCUCUGCUUCGUUUCUCAAGCAAACUUUAACAAAACUGUAUUUCGUUCCCAAUGGCGGCUCCACAUACCCAAUUUGAUGACUCUUUUAGCUUCGAAGAUUUCCAAAAAAUCUUUACUCGGCCAUAUGUAAAUCCGAACUUCCUUGCACUAGCCAAUGUGGAACUCAAUGAGUUCUAUCUGAGUCUAUCAUUCAAUAACGUCGAAGCCGUCGAACAAGUGGCGGUGGGCCAACUGUUCCCUUGCGCUCAAGGCCCUCCGUUCCUGAACUCUUUGCCGCUGAGGCCGAUUCGCGAAAAAGGUAUUCACACUUGGCCUAAAUCUGAUGUUAUUUUCCAUAGAUGACAUGCUCACCUUGUGGGCCAUGGUCAUACCAAGGCAAUUUUUUAUCGUACUAAGAUUUCUGAUUUAUUAGAAAUUGCUCUUUAACCCCCAAUUUUUGACCCAGUGUUUUUUUCUAUUGCUUUAAGUUUUGGUCUUCUGAAUAUAAUACUUUGUUUUCCCUCUUGGUCCCAUGUCUAUUACUUUAAGGGAUGUUGGUGCCCUAGUAAAUCUUUCACCUUUGGGCGAUACCAUUUUCCCUGGUAUUUUGAUUUUCGGUGUCGCCCCAAAAUUUGACAAGAAACUCACUGAGUCCUACUCAAGCCUGCAAGGCUUUUAUAAUCACUCAAACGCUGAACGUCCCAUGCUGAGCGUGUGGCCUUUCUUCAGAUUUGGCUAUGUAAAUAUAUUCUCUGCGUGCCAAGUAUGAAGCCUUCCAUGAGUUACUUACCCAUAGCGCAUGAAUUAACACGUGGUAGGCCUUUGAAUUUGUGUUCCUUCUUUUUGGCUGCCCCUUUAUAGAGGCAUGGCUUCUUUUCAAUUUCAAUUGAAGAAUGGUGCAUCUCCCACUGACAGUGGGCUUCUUUGGUUCACUCAACUGUGGUUGAGAGCAUAUUUCCCAUCACUUAGUGCUCCGUCCAUUUUUCUUCAUUCUGCUAGCUGCUAUGGACUAGCCAUUGACCCAUUGAGCCCUGUAAAUAUGUCCAGUAGGGACAUUUUUUCAUUCUUUUAUACCUUAAAUUCAGUUCCUUCCUUCUUUCCUUUUCCUACUCAUUUGACUCCAGAUUAUGUGCAACCUCCAUCCACCCUAGACAGUACGAGCGCCUCUCUACUAAUUUGGAUUCAGUUUUUGACUGUGAGGGAGUUGUUCCGUGAUAUUUUAACUGGAACCAAUGCCAAAGCUGGGGUUGAAAUAUAUGUUCCCCAAAUUUUUGCUCGCCAACUUGAUUUUGGCCAAACUUGGCCUGUUCCUCCUUACUAUUCAAAAAAUUUGACAGACCGCUUUCACAUCAUUAAUAAGGCAGAGGCACAACAAGCAAUAGAUGCUCGCAACAUUCUUUUGACGAGUAAAUUUUCAUUAGCCCCCUUCAAUUCUAGUCGUGCCAUCUAUCUCCUUUUUGAACAACUCUGACCAUCAGUGAAGCGCAGAUUGUUUGCAACUAAUGCCAAUUGUGCUUUCCAUUAACUGGAUCAGCCAAACACUUCUUCCACUUCUCCUAUUUUGGUCACCCCUAUGUCCAUUAGGAAUCCUUCCUCCCCUGCUCAUGCUGAACAAUCUAUUCAUCUAUCUACUUCUCUAUCUGCCAAGGCUACUGCAGCUAAGAGUGCCUUAACCCGCAAACGGCUAGCUUCAACAUCUCCCAUUUUGAAGGAUGACGAUGAUGAUGCUCCUCUCAUCGUUAGGAGAAAGGUAAUUGAAUUCUGUUUAUUCACAAACAUACAUUUCUAUGUGCUAAUGGUUUACCUGAAACCUUUCUAUGUGCUAAUGAUUUACUUGAAUUUCUCAAAAACGUUCAGCCUCUCCUUUGAAGGCUUUGGUGUUGGUAGCUCCUGCUCCAUCACUCUCUGCUGCUGAUACUACUUCGUCCAAAUCAGCUGAUGAAGGGACUAUGCUUAAAGAGAAAUUUUCAGUCCCGAAACCUUUAUCACAACCAAUGGAAGACCCACCUUCUUCCCAGGGCACCGACCCCUCAAACAUCAAACUAGAAGGUAAUACAUUUUUUGAUGUUUUACCUUUGCUUGUGCUAUUGGUUUCUGAUUUGUUGCUUCUUGAAUUCUGCAGAGGCUCCCAUGGGUCUGCCCGUUGUGGCAGAGUCUUCUCGCCCACAUAAUGGGAAGUCUCCAUAGGUGGUGGAGCCAACUGGUAAUAUGCCACUUCCCAAGAUUGCUGAUGAGGUAAUCUUUCGCUUCACUUUUAUUUUCGCUUCGUUUAUUGUAGUGAAAGCCCUCAAUGUUGGCAUUUUUCUUUGCAGGGUAUUGAUGACAUUGUACAUUCCAUUCAGGACUUGUUCACUUCCUGAGGACAAGUCAAGACGUCUCGUCCUACUUCAACCGGUCAUCCUUCUGCUUCUUCAGAGGAAGAUAUCAAGUUCCUUAAGCAGUCGAUAUUUGAGUAUGUGUCUUUUAUGGACAUGGACAUCGGUCAGGCUAGUGCUGAAAAACAUAAGGAUAAGCUUGAGCUAUUGAGUGCGAAGUUGGCGCAAGCACUGACACUUUCGUCGCUCAAUAUUUCUGCUGAUUUUAAAGCGACGUUGAAGGUUUUUCACUCUGACAUCCUCUCCUUGCUGGCCAAAAAUGUUGAACUGAAGGCCGGGAGUACUCAAUAUCUUAGCGCUGCAUCUGAAAGAGAGUCUUUGCUUCUAGAGAUUAACAAAGUCGAGGACGAAUUGAAAGAAAUCUCUUCCGAAGUUAUGAUUGAAGACUCCUUGAUGACCAGUUUGGCUGCAGAUAUGAAGGAGCUUCAAGUAAGGAUGGACGACUAUAAGGCGAGAAUGGCUGCUAAAAAGUAUAAUGCUUCCCAAGGAAUUGAGCAAACCAAGUCUUUGGUCGAGCAGUACAAAAAGCUGGAGGUUGAUGACGAUUUUAUAGCUGAAUUAAAUAUCCCUUCUUCUCAGCAGAGCGAGGAUUGGGAGAGACUUAGGGAAAGAAUUCGAUCGGCCUGGGGUGAAUUGUAAUUAAGACAUCUAAUGCCUUAAAUUUUCCUUUUGUAACUUCGUACUAACUGUCAUUGCUAAAUUUGAAUGUAACAGCAGCCAUUGUCAUUAAUGAACGACUAUUUUGACUACUUGUGUGCUAAUUGACGUUGUCCGUAAUUUUCAAUCCCCCAAGCAUUUAAAUGCUUUAUGCUAAAAUUCUUGUACAUUCUCUCUUGGUAUUUUUGUCUCUUUUCUGAAGACUUUGGGCAACUUGACUCCAAUUACUAGGCACGAAUGUGGCUGUUCAUAUUCUGUCUCUUUACCUUCAUGCCCCUAUAAAUGCACGUAUAUUUCGCACUUUUCAUUUUCAUUUCCAUUCUUUUCUUCAAAAACUAAUUUGCUGUCAUCGUUUGGCAUUUCAACAAUCGAUCCAAAAUUUUCGUCUUCCAUAGAAAUGAAUCAUUUGAUCCGCCCAUUUUGCUAUCUGUUUUGAUGUUACCUUUAGUAUAGGAGAUAUAGGAAAUAUUCUUUGACCAGCAAAGUUCUUCCCAUCGUCUUCAUGUUCUUUACAAGGAGUUCAAUGAUGGAAGGUAAUUUUUGAGGAUGCCUGUCAAGCCACCUUGCUUGCUGAGAGUGCUUCUCAGUCUCCUUGCCCGUUAUUGCAGCAAUGCGAUUAGGCAAGCGAUGUGAUGGUGCUUUUCUUCCCUUUUGCUUGCUGAGAAUGCUUCUUGGCCUCUCUGCCUGCCUUUGCAGCAGUGCGAUCAGGAUAGCAAUCAAGGCCAGUUCACCCUCUUACUUGGCGAUCGACCGAGAGAUUAGUUUGCUCUCAAUUGUAGCUUAUAGAGCAUUUAGUAUUUUGUAUCUCGCAAUUUGUAAUAAAUAUUUGAUAAUAAAGGAAUUUAUUUGAACGUAUUUCGUUCUGGCCCUUUUUAUAUAUGAUCGUUCAACGUGAUUUGAUUACGCUUUUAUUUGUUCACUUUCCCAAAUCUAUAAAUAAUAUGAUCACGGAUAAAUUCUACGACACUCUUUUGGGUGAUUUCUUUUAAAGGUAUCGCUUCUACCCACUUAGUGAAAAAAUCAGUUGCAACUAUAACAAAGGUAUGUUGCUUGGACGACGGGGAAUAAAUCUUCCCUAUUAGGUCUACCGUCCAACCCUUGAACGGCCAAGGUUUGAUAAUAGGUGUCAUCUCUAUUGCUGGCGCCCUUUGUAUUGGACCAUGCUUUUGGCAUGCUAGACAACUCUUUGCAUAUUGAACACAUGAUUCUCCCAUCUUUGACCAAAAAUAUCCAUUCCUAAUAAUUAACCAUCUCAUCCUUUGACCAGCUUGAUGAGCUUUACAUAUCCCUUCGUGCACCUCAACCAUGAUUGUCUUGGCUUUUUGCAAAUUUACACAUUUUAGCAAUAUACCAUCAGAGCGUUUCUUAAAUAACUCUUCAUCUAUCAGUGUAUAGUUUAGCAAACGCAACUUCAUUUUUCUGCUAUCUCCUUUAUUAGGUUCUUUAAGGGAUCUUUUAAUCUCUGUCCUCCAAUCUAUUGUAUCUCCAUCUUGUAUGCAAUGAAUUUCAAUCUUUCUCGCCCUUCUUUGAACUACGGGUAAUAUUACUCCAUAUUCAUAAGUAGAUUUCCAAUUUAAAACCUUUGAAUACCCUGAGGCCAUCUGGGCCAACUCAUUUGCUACGUCAUUAUAUAUCCUAUUAACACAUUGAAGCUCUACUUGGUCGAAUUCUUCCAAAAAAUCUUGGGCGAUUUCAUAUUGACUUAUAAUGGAAUCACUUUGGCACUUAAAAUCACUAAUCAAUUGGUGAAUCACCAAUUGAGAAUCGUCUCUAAUGAUCACAUUCUUUACUUCCAUAUCUAUCAUUAAUUCUAGGCCCACGAUUAAGGCUUCAUAUUCGACUUGAUUGUUGGUGCACAUCCUAUCCAAAGUGAAUGCGAACUUGUAACAAAUCCCUAAAGGAUUUAUCAAUGCUACUCCUACUCCUGCACCUUUAGAGGUUUUUGACCUAUCGAAAUACAAAACCUAAGGUUUUAAUUCGAAUGAAUUGGCUUCUAAUUCAAUUUCUUCAGGCAUGUCAAGGUAUGGAUGAUCGGCCAGAAAGUUAGCCAAAGCCUGAUUUUUGAUUGCCUUUUGGGGUAUGUAUUGUAUUUCGAAUUCUAAUAAUGCUAACGUCCAAAGGCCUACCCUUUAGUGUAAAAUAGGGCGAGAGAACAUAUACUUAACCAAAUUUAUUCUAAAAAUCAAAUAAAUGGUUACGAGUCGUAAAUAAGCCCUUAAUUUCGUACACGUGAAAUACAAUGCAAGACAUAAUUUUUCAAUGGCAGAGUAAUUACAUUCACAUUUUGUUAACCGUCUACUCAAGUAGUAAAUCGCCCUUUCUUCACCAAAUUGGUCUUCUUGCGCGACCAUUCCAACUAUUGAUUCUUGUUCAGCCGAUACAUACACUUUCAUUGGCCGUUCUUGGAUUGGUGACAUCAACACUGUUGGACUUGAUAAAUAUGUCUUUAGACUUUCAAAAACCUUUUGAUACUCUUCUUUUCAGAAGAAUUCGUCCUGAUUCUUCAACUUUAAAAGCGGCGAAAAGCUUUAGUUCACCCUACACAGUUAGAAAUAAAGCGUUUUAAAAAAUUUACUUGGCCUAGAAACCUUUGCAAUUAUUUUUUAUUGUUAGGUGAUUUGGCCUCUAAAAUGACCUUCGCUUUAUUUUUAUCAAGUUCAAUCCCCCUUUUGUGUACUAAGAAACCAAGGAAGUUUCUUGCAUUAACACCAAAUGCACAUUUCAAGGGUUUCAAUUUUAGUUUAUAUUGCUUCAUUCGCUCAAAUGAAUAUCUCAAUUGUUCAAAAUGGUCCUCUUCUUUAAUGGAUUUGACCACUAUAUCAUCUACAUACACUUCAACAAACUUGCCUAUCAUAUCAUGAAAAAUCAAGUUCAUCGCCCUUUGAUAAGUUGCUCCUGCAUUUUUCAGACCGAAAGACAUAACUACCCAUUCAAAACAUCCUAGAGACCCACGACAUUUAAAGGCAGUUUUGUGUAUAUCUUCCUCAACUAUAUAAAUAUGAUUGUAUCUUGAAUACCCAUCCAUGAAAGAAUACAUUACGUGUCCGGCAAUCGAGUCUACUAAAGAAUCUACCGUGGGCAUUGGAUAUUCAUCUUUGGGUGUGGCUAUAUUUAAAUUUCUAAAGUCUAUGCACACCCUUAAUUUACCAUUCUUUUUUAGUACUGGCACGAUAUUGGACAACCAUUCGACAUAUCUGGCUGUUAUAAUAAAGCGUGCUUUUAAUAAUCGCUCUAUUUCUUUCUUAAUCUCAGGGAGUACAUUAGGAGCAAAACGUCUAGGAGGUUGUUAAUGAGGUUUAAAAUUUGGCUUGGUUGGUAAUCUAUGUUCCACCAAACCUCUAUCUAAACCAGGCAUGUGUUCAUAUUCCCAAGCAAAACAAUCCUUAUAUUUCUUUAAUAAAGUGAUUAAUUUAUCACUAACCUCUUGAUCGAGCAUCUGGCUGACGAAUAUUAGGCGAUCUUCUCCUUCAUUGCCAAUAUUCACUUUAAUCAGAGGGUCCUGUGCUUGAGCGUAUCCAGGCUUGGUGAUCCUCACUACUUCAUCGUCCAAUUCGCUUAUAGGCAUUUCUUCUUCUAAACAAUCCACCUUGUUGACUUUUCGGCCAAUAUUUUGUUCCAACUCAAACACUGCCAAUUUGUCUCUCAAUACUUCCAAGGCUGCUUCUUCUUUUGUCUUGUCCUUACAUUCUUUAUUGAAAGCCAUUAAUUUGACUUUUAAGGCCUGAACAUCGGUCAUUUGCCUUUGUUGCUUACAACUCAUUUAAAACUCCUUGAUUACUCUUUUGCCAAUUACUGGCUCUUCUAGGGCCACUAUAUUUGGCCUCAUUUGACUAAACAUUUAAGUGAGUGCAUCUACCGAAAACGGCUCUUCACUCUAUGCAACAAUUUGAGUUUCUUCUCCAUCUUGGACUACUCUGACAGGUCCAUAAUUUCCUUCGUACAUGAACCUUUCCACUGAGUUUGCUUCUGCGACAAAAGGCCUAUGAUCGGCUUGCACAACUUCUGCUUCACCCUUAUCAUUCCAAAAAAUCAGGCAUUGAUGGAGCGAUGAGGGUAUACAACGACUUCCGUAUAUCCAAUCUCUUCCUAAUAACACAUUGUAACUAGUAGGACCAUCUAUUACAAAGAAGACUGUGGUCCUAGUAGUUGUCCCUAUAGUUAUAUCUAAUGAGAUAACCCUUUUAGCUAAAGUUGCUCCUCCAUUGAAACUUGUAAGGAUGACUUCCGUUGGAAUCAUAUCACUUUCUGUCUUUGCAAAUUUCCUCAUCAUCUUAGAUGAAAUAGUAUUUAUAGCUGCUCUAUUAUCAACAAGUACUUUUGCCAUAGGUAUGCCGUUAACUAAAGCUUUAACGUACAAUGGCCUCAAGUGUUUAGUUAACUUCAUGGCUGGUCUCUUAAAAAUAACUUUCAGCAGCAUCUAUUUCCACUUCCUGUUUGUCCUCUGUCAAGUUAUCAUUUUGUGAUAAGUCAACGUGUAGUAUGUCACACUGAGUUUCUGUUUCCUGAAUUUUCUUUUUACUAUUUUCUAAUGCUUCUUCUUCGGUUGCCCAACCUGUGGGAGGAGGCAUUAUCCUUGGAGGUGAUCCAUAUUUUUCAGAGUAAGGAACUUUCUUUUUCAUUUUGGGCGUCCCGUACAGUACGUAAUAAUCGAAAGAACGCCUAGACGGUUCUCCUAACAAGUCCACUCCAGAACCCCCUCUCGAUGUAGUUGCUUCAACAGAGUAUUGUGCGAUACCCCUCUCUUUCUUCUUUCUGCUCCAGAUCAAUUGUCUCUUCGAUGUUCGUCAUACCAUCAUCCUCUUCAUCAUCGUAGGCCCCUCUAGAAGUUUGACCUUCUUCACAUUCCAGCACACAUGCUUCUUCUUCAUUAUCCUCCCUUUCUUCUUCUUCUUUCUUUUUGUUCUUGAAGUCGUUGGCUAGUAAGUAAUUAUUAGCCAUGAUAGGAGGUAACGUACCGAACUAAAUAGUAAGGAGCUGAUCUGGAUCUUCUCCAUCUCUUCUGUCUCGCUCAAACUUCGAUCUCCCAGAAGAAGUUUCUGGUAAUUCUUCCAUUGAUUCACCUGUACCAGUCUCUUCACUGUCUUUGCGAAUAUUUUGAUUGGCUACCUCGAGUAGUUUAGGCACUUUAGGACGUGGCAUUUCCUGUUGUUGCCUUAUCAUUCGUACAUAGUUCCAUUGAAAACGCCUUUGUUGGGUUCUAGUCAUCUCGUUGAAGGGUAUCACUCUUCCUGCGUUAUACUGGAACGAAUGCCAUACAUUUGGUUUGCAAGGUUGUGGCCUGAAUGUUCUCCCAUUAUUUACUAGCCUGAACUGCCUCUCAAAAGAUGGUCCCCUAUAGAAUGAUGUACCUCACCCUCUACCAGGCUGAACGUUUGGGAAAAAACUAGGGAGAUGGUGAUGCUGCCAUAUCCCUGAUUUCUCUGUAUUUGCACUCACUUCUCUUUUGCAUCUUGCACAUAGGACGUCUUCAUCCUUUUUGGGCUCUUUCCCUUUGAUACGUUCAAAGACACUAGGAUGUGGCCCAGGGUCCUCUUCCCCGUCAUCUAUAACCAACUUGAAUUUUGGUAACUUGUUUUUGAAACCAGUCGUCACCAUGUUCACCCAAGUGGUUGUGGAAAAGGGUUUUCAUCCACUGCCAUUUUCUUCUUGUCUUCGAACGUAACUCGUCCUGAUUCAAUGGCAUCCUGUAACACAUGGUGAAAAACCAAAUAGUUGUUAGUCAAAUGUGACCAUGCCUUAUGCCACUUACAAUAUUUUUUACCCUUAACAUGUUCAGGGCUUGGCAAUUUAUGUUUAUCGCUCAGCUUUAUCUGUUUAUCCUUAUAUAGUUUAUCAAAUAUAAGUCAGCUUUGGUUACAUUGAAUGAGAACGUUCUAGCCUUUUUGUUUUCAUCUUUUAUAGGCUUAUCCUUGCCCGACGGCUUAGGUUUAGCCAUUAUAGGACAAGUAUACGUAUAUCCUUUAAUCAAUUCGGCCAAACACAUUUCGGCUUGAUCGUAAUAUUCGUCAUUAAUGGUAUGAACAUCAAAAUUUGGGUCUCUAUAAUAAGUCCCCUUACUAGAAUUUUUCAUUUGCUCUUUUUCUCUUAUUAAUCGUUCAUACCUAAUCACGUUUGCGCUCAAUUGAAAAAGAUCAGGAAAUUCCUUGUCUUGAAAUUUCUUUUUCAAAUCAAAGCUUCAAUCUUGAGUGAUCUUGACAAACUCCUUUUCGAGCAAAGGUACACAACAUUUACUUCUUGCUGUCUUGAAUCUUUGAAGGAAACCUUCUGUCCAUUUGUUUGGCAUUUGACGCAGACUCGCCAAAUCGGCCAAAGUAACUUCAAACCCAGUCUUAUAAAACUGAGCCUGAAACAAUUUCUCCAAUUGUUGCCAUGUUUGAACAGAGUUCGCUGGAAAAUUGAUAAACCAGGAGAAAGCUACUCUUGUUAAUGAACUAGGGAACAACCUCAUUUUAUGGUAGUCUGUUACUUUACCACUUUGCAGUGUGAAUCGCCCUAUGUGUUCUAGAGUAGAUACCUCUCCUAAACCGGUAAAUAGUGAGAAUUCUGGCACUUUAUACCCUCUAAGCUAUAGAUAUGCUUGGUCUACCCAAUCAGGAUAUGGCUUUGUGUAAAUUGGCCUAAUGACAAGACGUACUCCAAAAGCCAUCUGAUCCCGUACUGUUUCCAUAAUUUCAUUCCUCAACAUGACGUUGGGGUCAUAUGGAAUUCCUACAGGUUGGUUGAUCGGUUGAUUUGCUUGAGGCCUGAUGUUUGGUCCUUGGUUGGCAACAAAGUUGCCUUAAUUUGGGCCAUUAUUACAAUGACCCUGAAUAUUUAUUCCAUCAUUAACACGUGGGGCAUUCUGUCCAUUAUUUAGGACAUUGUCUCUUACAUUUAGGUUACCCCCCAAGUUAGUUGUACCAUUAUCACUAUUCGGAUUUGGCAUUACACCAUCCCUUGGUUUGAAGUAAAGGGACCAAAAGGUGGUUCUAUCCCUUGAUUUGGACUCAGGACAGGGGGAUUAUGUCCCACAAUUGUCCUAUCUUGAAAGUGAUUUGCAAGAGGCACAACUGGCUGACAAAUUCGACCUACUAACUUAUUUUUUAGUUCAUUCAAAGUAUUCAGUUGUUUGGCCAUGUUGUCAUAAUGUGCAUUCCCAUUAUGGGUAAAUCUUUCCAUAUUAUGAAUAUUUCGUAGAUUUACCUGUUCAACGACAUCCUAUGUGAGUUCUCCAAGUAAUACACGCAUGGUUCGAGGACUCAACUCUGUCAUUAGUUCGUAACGACUGUUACUACUCUGACUCUGUCCCUCUGUCGUGGAGAGCUAUGCUGCUCCUCAUAUCGCUCGAUCACAGACUGGACUCCUCCCUCACUUGCUGCUUCCUUAUCAGAUUUGUGAGGUAUAUUGUUUUACCUUUUAUAUCUUCAACACCAAACACCAUUAUCCCACCGGGCGUGCCAAAUUGUUUCGCGCGGGUAGUCGCUAACAAUUAAAAAGGGAUCAGACGAUUGUGUAAGGAACAAACCUCUUGAAACGAAGUUUCAAAAAGGGGUGUUUUAUUCGCGAUGAUUUACAAUUGGAACUAAACAGAAUACCUCCAAGGAGCGCAAGCACACGAGUACUGAAAGAAAUGUUUAAGUUUAAAUUAAGAUAUUGAAAUUACAUAUUCUCUGUUUGAGAGUGUUUGAUUCGGGGUCCUUCUCUUUAUGUCUUCUCUUCCUUUUAUAUUCCCUUGAUGAUUUCUUCGUGACAAACCGUUUGGAAACUGUUUGAUUGCUUUAUAACUACUCACUUUCUUUAUAGUGGUUAACUUGUCGUGGAACUGCUGUUUCUAACUGUUGCUACUACUCUUUGUCGUUCAACCGCCUUCAACUGGGUUCCUUGAAUCGUGGAAUGUGAUAAGGUUACUCAAUAACUGCUUUAAUAAUUGCAUUUUUGGAUAACCAUAACAUUUUAUGUUUGCUAAGAUCCUGGACGAUUCGAAGGUAUGGGUGAGAACAGGGUUAUCGCUCUGGGCGACUGUAAGGCACUCCAUUCGCUCAAAUUUCGGGCGUCUUGCAAGCUUGGGCGAUGAUAUUACUAUGUUUGUGGGCUUUCACUGCAUUCAUUAAUAAUCCUAUCUGGGUCUUUAUCCUAAAUUUCCCAAUUAGGCUUUAUUCUUUGGGCUAUUUGAUUUGGGAUUCCUCAAUUAGGCUUCAUUCCUUGGGCUAUUCGAUUUGGGCUGCACUUUUAGUGUAUCAACAAAAACAAAAUAAAUACCUAUAUCAAUUAAACAGCUUCUUAAUGAGAAAAUCCAUAACUGAUCCAGUUUCUGGCUUUCUGAGAUAUUGACAUAAAAUAAGCUGUUCUAUUAUUUUACUCCAACAAUUCCUAAUUAUAUAUAAUUUGUAUUGGUAUUAUUCAACUAUUAAAUAUUCAAAUUAGAUUCUGGAAUCCGUACAAAUUGGACUAUGUUGAUAGAAAAAAAGCUUUAGAAAAAAAAGCUAAAGCGCAUCUGUGAGAAAUAAUAAUCUUUUUCUUAUUCAUGGCCUUUGAAUGAAAGGCAAAAGAAUGUAUAGAUUACGCAAAUGGAAUAGACAGUCAAUAAUGGCCUACUAUGUUAUAGAUAGAGCCAAUUUGCAUUGACCCGGUGAUAGAACUUAAACCACUUGUUAUGAAUGUUAAAGGAAAGAAAUAUGGAUAAAAUGAAAAUAAUGAAUCACACAGAAACACAAUAUUUACGUAGAAAUCCAAAUUCGGAAAUACCACGCACAGAGAGGCGAAAUAUUUACUGUAAUCAAUAGCAAUGAAAUACAAAAGGAGGUCCACAUGACAAAUUAAAAUUUUCCCAAUAAGAAAAAGAAACAUAUUUGUCAUGUGGACCUAUAUAAUAUGGAGAAACCAAUUGAAAUGAAACAGCUUCAUGAUGGGCUCUAAAGAAAUUCUAGACACGGAUAAAAGUCUCAUGUUCAAAUAUAUUCACACCAAAUAGGCCGGCUGUUGUAUUAUAUUGAAAUCUCAACAAGUAGAUAUACAGCGUAGAAGCUGUACAAAUGUGACGAUUAAAGCUCCAACUAGUCAGCCCAUUAAAAAUAUUUUCUUAUUCAAAGCAGACGUGGGAAAAUAGAAAUGGAAUAAACUGAUUAUAAACCGAAAAUGUAUCGUCAAAUGGCGUGCUAAUAUAUUAAAUUUUAAGGCGCAGUUUGACUAUAAUAUUCAAAUGUUUUCUACUACACCACCGCUAUAUAUACCAUGUUCAGCUGCUGUUUCCUGCACAGCUCUUCACUUCUUCUCUAUUGUAAUUCACUUAACUUUUCAACUAUUCAAGGUAAAUAUGGGUAUCUCCAACUAUUUCCAUGAACUCAAAACUAAUGUUUCUCACAAGAGGCUGUUCAAGGCUUUGAUCACCGAUAACCACGAUGUUUUGCCGAAAGUCUCCCCUUCCAUCAAGAGCAUUGAGACAAUUGAAGGAGAUGGUGGUGCUGGAAGUGUCAAAAAGACAAACUUUUCUGAAUCUGAAGGUUAGUCCAAAUAUUAAAAUCGCGAAAAAAGAAUGAGAACGUAAUAUUUUGUAUAUAUGCAGUACUAUUGUGUCAAAGGUCCUUCUUCUUUUUCUUUUUUUCUUUUCUCCUUUUUUUAAAAUUUUUAAAUUUUUUAUUAUUUUUAUUAUUUUUACGACACCAGACAAAAUAAAACAUGUCCGAAGUUUUGUUCAUUUUACAUACUCUCAUGAGCAUUUGCGUUACAUAACAGGGUCUCACUUCAAGCACAUGAAGACCAAGGUCGACUCCUUGGACAAAGAAAACUACGUGGCCAAGUUCACUUUGGUUGAGGGAGAUGCACUUGGUGACGAGCUUGAAAAGGUAUGUUACGAUAUGAAAUUCGAGGACUCAAAGGAUGGAGGAUGUGUCCUCAAGAUCACCAGUGAGUAUCAUUCAAAGGGUGAUAUUGUACCUAAAGAAGAGGAUAUUAAAGCAGCCCAGGAACAUACUAUGGGACUCUACAAGUCUUGUGCAGAUUACCUGAUUGCCAAUCCUCAUGUUUGUGUCUAAAUAAUUUCUAGUUAUAUUUCCGAUUUUCAGUAUUUCCUUAAUAAAGAACUUUGUUCUACUCUUCCAUUGAAGUUUGUUCUUAUCCAACUGUUAUCAAAAUUUAUGGUACAACAUUAAGAUGAAAUUUUAGCAAGGUUCAGGUCUUUGCCUUAAUAAAGCGAAUUUGUUUGUUUAUUUCCAUCCACGUCUAUUUAUUCCUAUUUCAUGUCGAAUUUUCAACGAAUAGUACCGAAUUUCAUCAAAUUACAUGUGAGCUUGCUAUUUAUAUCUGUUUCUUUGCACGUAAAUUUCAGUUGCAAAGAAAUUUUAUCUAGAUAUGGAGUAAUUAAAACUUCCAUUUGAUUGUAAAGGUGAAAAAGGCAAAUCAAUUUGAUAUAAGUUGGAAAAGAAAAACCACCAAAACCAUAGGAAUGCAUUUUCAAUGGAAUUGGCCAAAAACAUGUUUUUAAGUGUUUGUAACCUGGAAUUCGAACUCCAUUUUCACUUUCGUAUCAAACAGGCAAAAUAGAAAACAAAUUCCUCGAAUAUGACAUUUUAUAUUGAAUUGAAGUCAAUCAAACGGAGCCUAGGACCCUCUUAAUAAUUACCUGAUCCAAGAAAUGAACGAGGACAAAAAAAGCUGUGGAAUAGUUAUAUCUAACUUUUGUACAUUGGAUUUUUUGCAUAAUUAAUUGAAGUUACUUUUAGGGCCUGUUUGAUUGCAAAGAUGGAAUUUGGAUGAAGAGAAAAUGAAUUUUAGGGAGUGAAAUUGUCUAGAAAGUAUUUUACUGAAAAUUGUCAAUUAUUAUGUUUGAUUGGUAUAAUUUUUUAUGUUGAAAAUGUUGAAAUAAAAGUAUUUUUUGGUAUUUGUCUGGCUUUAUUUUACAUGAAAAUUGUCAUUUAAAUUAAUAGAAUUUACUGGUAUAGGGGAUAAAAUUUGUUUCCAUUGCCAAAAAAAAAAAGACAAGAAAAUCAUCCAUCUUUUAGCGUUCGUUUGACUUUGUUUUACAUGAAAAUUGUCAAUUAAAGGAAUAUAUAUAUAUAUAUAUAUUUUACACAAUUAGGGAUAGAAUUUGUUUCCAUUGUCAAAAAAAUAAAAAAAGAAAAGCAACCAAAAAAACCAAUUCCCAACUAACCCAAAGGAAUACAAAUUCCUCAUUUUCGUGGAAAAUAGGAUCACGAACCAGAAAACUAGAAAAUGAAUUGCCAGGAAUAUAUUACCUAUCAAAAAUGACAAAAAGUGAAAAUGACAUUUUCAAUUCCAACUUCCAUGAAUAAUAUGGCGUAUCAAACGGAGCCUUACUGUUUUGCCUAAAGUCUCCCCAUCCAUCAAGAGCAUUGAGACAAUUGAAGGAGAUGGUGGUGCUGGGAGUGUCAAAUAGACAAACUUCUUUGAAUCUGAUGGUUAGUCCAAAUAUUAAAAUCGCGAAAGAAGAAUGAGAACAUAAUAUUUUGUAUAUAUGUAGUACUAUUGUGUCAAACGUCAUCAAAUAUACCAUACUAAAUAAGUCAUAAAUUUGUAGUUGUCACCAAAAAAAAAAAAAAGAAGAACUAGACCAAAUAAAACAUGUCCGAAGUUUUGUUCAUUUUACAUACUCUCAUGAGCAUCUGCGUUAUAUAAUAGGAUCUUACUUCAAACACAUGAAGACCACGGUCAACUUUCUGGACAAAGAAAAUUACGUGGGCAAGUUCACUUUGGUUGAGGGAGACACGCUUGAAAAGGUAUGUUACGAGAUGAAAUUUGAGGACUCAAAGGAUGGAGGAUGUGUCCUCAAGAUCACCAGUGAGUAUCAUUCCAAGGGUGAUGUUAUCCCUAAAGAAGAGGAUAUUAAAGCAGCCCAGGAACAUACUAUGGGACUCUACAAGUCUUGUGCAGAUUAUCUGAUCGCCAAUCCUCAUGUUAGUGUCUAAAUAAUUUCUAGUUAUGUUUCCGAUUUUCUGUAUUCCCUUGAUAAAGAACUUUGUUCUACUCUUCCAUUGAAUGUUGUUCUUAUCCAACUAUCAUCAAAAUUUACGGUACAACAUUAAGAUGAAAUUUUAGCAAAGUUCAGGUCUUUGCUUUAAUAAAACGAAUUUGUUUGUUUGUUUCCAUCCGCGUCUAUUUAUUCCUCUUUCAUAUCUAAUUUUCGAUGAAUAGUACCAAAUUUCAUCAAAUUACAUGUAAGCUCGCUAUUUAUAUCUGUUUCAUUGCAAAUAAAAAUCGGUCGCAAAUAAAUUUUAUUUAGAUUUUCACUACUUAAAACUAAGAUCCCUUUAAUUAUUACCUGAUCCAAGAAAUGAAUAUGGAUAGAAAAAGCUAUGGAAUAGUUACACAUAACUUUUGUUCGUUGGAUUUUUUUGCAUAAUUAAUUGAAGUUACUUUUAUUACUAACACGUCAUUAUAUUUGAGAAAUAGUUAAACAUAUAAUGCUUUUUAUUUUUAUUUUUACGAUUAGACUAAUAAGGAUAUUGAUGUUAAGUCAGACAUAAUUUAAAAUCAAAAGUAAAUCCUUGAGUUGUAUAUUCUACAAAAAAAUAAAAAUACACACACACACACACUACGUUUGAGCCAAAUUUUGCCAAUUUUUCAUUUUAGUCCCCGAACUCUCUUCCAAUGUGCAAUUUGGUCCUUUUUCAUUUCUUUUCAAUCCUUAGCCUUUCUUUUUUAUCCAACUGACUCUUAGCACUCUCCAAUCGUCGAUAUAAUAUCUGAAUCAACUUUUAAGAGUUUUCAAUUUAGACCUCAAACUUUAAAAUUUUUCCCUUUUUUUUUUUUUUUUUUCCAUUUUUCACUCAUUUCGUCCAACUCCAUCAUUUUGUUUCAAAUUUCUCCUAACAAACGAAAUAUAUUCAAAUUUUUGUGAUAAAUAAUAUUAAAUAAUAGAAUCCGAAAAUCCAAGUUUAAGUGAUUUGUUAAUUACAAGGAGUUGUGAUUGUGAGAUACAAAUUACAUAUAAUUGGAUCUUGAAUAAACCGUGGUCGUAAGUAAUAACGAGAUACGGAUAUCGUUAAUACAGUUAGACCAUCACAUUUGGCAUUUCUUACUUGUGAAGUAAGUAGCUGAUCUCACGAGCUAAAGUGUGGUGACACUUAAAUGAACACGUGGAUGUUUGUUAUAGAACAAAAUAUUGGAGACCCACUGAGAGAUUCCACAUAGAUAACUAUCUGAGUGUCAGUGGUUAAUCUCUAACGUUCAGUAGUGAAAUUGGUUCUAUAACUUGAGGUCAUCAUAGUGCCUUAUAUGAGGACGGUCAUACUUUGACGGUGUUGGAUGUUGCUCUGCCAAGGGCUGCUAAUACGACAUCGUUCGGGUAUGUCAAGAACCAUAUGAAGGUUGUGAAUGACCAAUAGAUGAUUCAUCACUUUUAGAUGGUAAGAGAUUGUGAUCUGCAUUUCGUUCAAUUAAGUCAAUAACAAAAUCCUUGGCCAAGGUAUACAUAUAAGUCGAAAAGAAAUUUUCAACUCAUAUUGACUUAAUAGUAGAAUGAAAGAUAUGAUCGAUAAUCGAGAUUGACACACUUCCAUAUCUCGUAGUUGAUCGGAUCAUAUUGACGAAGGGAUUAUAAUUUCAUGGUAAACGAACAGUUUUGGUUUUGUCAUACCACGUGACAUUUCCCGUCACAUGUGUUGCCCUGAUACAUUGUUAGAUGUCAGUAUGGGACGGCGAGUGUGAAUUUGUGAUAAAUUAAAUGGGUGUUUAAUUUAUCAGUUUUGAUUAGAUCAAAAUAAUAUUUCACGUCAUUAGGUGUCGUGGUCGGGAACCUAAUGGGUCGCACACAAAAGAGAAUUGGAAGAUUGCAAAUUGCCAAUUGAUUAAUUUAACAAUCGUUGGAUACAUUAAUUAAUUGAAUUUGUUAUUUAUAUUCCCGAAUUAAUUAGUUCACGGAUCGGGUUUAAUUAAAUGGAUUAAUUAAACAUUGGACAGGACCGGGCCAAGCCCGUUUGGGUUUAUAUAAAUACAUGGCUAGAGUUUGAGAUCUAUAAGGUUUUCAUUAUUCUUGCUGGCACAAGAGGAAAAAUCCUACCAGUUGCAGUCUAUUCUCUGCGUGGAUUUCAUUGGAGGCUGAACAAUUGGACAGUUGUGGAAGGCAGAUUCAAACUGCUCGAAAGGAAUAACGCGAAGGAGUUUGCAAAAUCAAGAAAGUGUAUAUUUCUUAUCACAAUUCUUAUCUAAAUAUAAAGUUGAAUCUCGAAUUGGAAUUGAAAUUUGUUUAAAUCUGGUGUGCAUGUUUAAGUAAAUUCUCAACAGUGGUAUCAGAGCCAACUUUGUAUUUGUUAAGAAUUGAUCUAUAUAUUGAUUAAAUUAAAAGUUAAUUUAAUCAUGUUAAUCCAUGAAUCUAGCAAUUGUAGUUUUAGUUUUAUUUUUCUUUCCAGAAUCUGAUUUUGAAAGAACACAAAAAAAAGUUUUUUUUUCUUGGAUCGAGGCAGCGGGACAGUGGCGGCUGCGCGCACGCCACAGCCACGCGUAGCGUGCGCUGCUGCGUACUGCAGGCGCAUCAAGCGGCGGCUAGGCUGCUGCUGUGGUGGGCUGGGGGGUAACUGUCGACAGUUCCCCUACCGGCUGUUGGGCAGGGCGGCGCCGGGUAACAAAAAAAAAAUUUAAGGUUUUGGCGGAGACGGGGGCCUCUGUUGCAAAUAAUGCAAUUAGGGGCCCCUGAUUGCAAUUACAAAAAUGGGGUCAGUUUGCAAAAUUUAAAAGGGGGACCUGUUCUACAAUUUUUAAUUUGGAAGGGUCCGGUGUUAAUUUCCAAAUUGGGUUAAAUUUGUAAAUUGUCAAAAAUGAUUUUGAAUUGAUUUUAAAAUGAUGUUUUAAUUGGGUUUGACCCAUACCAUAAUUUUGAUCCAAAAUUAAAAUUUAUUUAAAAUUUGACUACUUUUAUAUUUUUGUUAAAAUUAGGUUUUAACUUAAAUAUUUAAUUUUGACCCUUAAUUGAAUUUUAUUUUAUUUGGAAAUUUUGUCCUAAAUUAAAAUAUUAAUUCAAUUUUAUUAAAGUUGGACUCUAAUAUUAUAUUAAUUAAAAUUUGAUUUCAAUUAAUACCACUUCCCAAUGCAAAUUAAAAUUUAGAGUAUGACUCUAAUUUAAUAAUUAAUUAAAAUUCGAUUUUGAUUAAAUUACUUCGCCGAAUAGUUAUGGAAUUAGAGUUGGACUCUAAUUCGGGAUUUAGUUAAAAUUUGAUUUUAAUUAAAUUGGCUCGCCAAUUAAGUUAAUUAAUUAAUAUGAUUAAUUAAUUAUUUAAUUAUCUCGAUCCAAAAUUUUGAAUUUGUUUUGAUGACUAUAAUUGCUAGAUUUAUGAGACUUUAUAUAUAAUAUUAGAUAUUAUACAUAAGAAAUAUUUAUGUGAUGAAUGUUUAUGGAUGAUUAUGGACUCGACCAUGUGGAUGUGUUGAAUGAUUGAUUUACUUCUUUUUGUUUUAUCGGCCUGGGAGUCCGUUGUUAUUAUUGUUGUUAUAGGCCUGCGAGCUCUUUAUUAUAUUGGACCUGGGAGUCCGUUGUUAUUGUUAUUAUUAUGGGCAUGCGAGUCCGUUUUCUUUUAGGCUUGCGUGUCAAUUAGUAUAGGAUACAUGUUGCAGUUUGACUAAUUGGAGGCACAAGAAGAGGUGGACACCAUGAAGAUGGUGCUUUCUGUUGAUCCAAUGUUGUAUCCCUUAGGAAUUGACCAACUAGUUUUCCUUUUAGUUCGGGAAAACUAAAUAGAACAAGUCCAUAAUCAUCCAUGCUAUUACUUAUAUAUAUAUAUUUAUUCGCAUAUUAGAUAUGUGUGUGUGUGUGUGUGUAUACACACACACACACACACACACACACACACAUAUAAUAACUUGAUGAGACUAUUGCACGUUAAAUUCCUCGUUAAAAAUAUUAAGUUAGUAUUAUUUGCCUUUUAUCAUUAUAGUGUAAAACGAGAAUCUUAAAUUGACUUUAGCUUGUUCAGUAUACUCAAGGCUGGUCUAUUAGGGAUAUGUUUGACACUAUGAAAUAUUUGAUAUUUCUGAAUGAUGGGUUUGAUUUAACUAAAAUUUAUCUUUUGUUGAGUACACUCAAGGAGAUAAGUUUUAGAGGCAUGUUAAGCUAACAUAUAACAUGUGUGAAGACAAAAGAGUUGUCAGCUUAAUGAUCUGGAAGUUAUAUGGAGAUACAAUUGAUAAUAAUAUCUACCCAAAUGUUUUAUUAGGAUUUGUUGAGUACACUCAAGAUCUUGAUACAAUGAAUGGGAUCCCAGCCCACUGAGAAUCAAAUGUGGAUUCAAAUAAUUUAUGUAUGAGGGUCAUGAAUUUAUUUUAAAUAGUGGGAGCACGUUUAAUUAAAGUCCAUAUUGAAUUUAUGCAUAUGCAUUAUAAUACAUAUUAAUUCUAUGUUUUUCGUCAUUUACAGUUUUUGAAUCAUGAGUAAUCAUAUAAAUUUGAGAGGCAUACUGGAUGCCAACAAACUGACUGGACCAAAUUUUCUCGAUUAGCACCACAAUUUGAGAAUCAUUCUCAAGCAUGAGAAAAUUAGAUAUGUCCUUGAGUAGCCCUUUCCAGUGGUGCCUACUAAAAAUUCCAUUCAGGAAGAGGUGGCUGCUUACAACAAACAUAGUGACGACAAUAAUACUACAGCAUGUGUGAUGCUUGCAGCUAUGUCACCUGAGUUGCAGAAACAGCAUGAGGGUAUGGAUGCUUACACUAUGAUUUUUCAUCUCAAGAAAUUGUAUAAUGAACAAUCUCGUGUGGAGAGGUAUGAGACCUUUAAACAACUAUACCGGUGCAAAAUGGUAGAGGGAUCUUCAGUCAGUGCUCAUAUGCUGAAAAUGAUUGGUUUCAUUGAAAAACUGGGUUCACUAGGUUUUAUCAUGGAUCAUGAACUAAGUAUUCACUUGGUUUUGCAAUCUCUGCCAGAUAGUUAUUCACAGUUCAUUAUGAAAUUUAAUAUGAAUAAGAUCGAAUGCAUACUCUCUGAGUUGCUUAAUAUGCUUAAAACUGUGGAGCCCAAUGUCAAGGCUAGCACUAGACAUGUCUUAGCUAUUCAUUCAUCCAAGGACACUAAGAGGAAAAUCAAAGGAAGUUUUAAAAAAACAUCCAAAAAGGUUAAGGGCAAUAACAAAGCAGGCAAGGACAAUACCAAAUCUGAUGACCCAUGCUAUCACUGUGGAGUGAAAGGUCAUUGGAAGAGGAACUGCAAGGCUUACCUUGCUAGUUUGAAGGGAAAGAAGUCUUCUGAAAUUUCUACUUCAGGUAUUUUUGUUAUCGAGGUUAAUAUGUCUACUGCAUUAGCUUCUUGGGUAUUAGAUACCGGAUGUGGAUCUCAUAUUUGUAUAAAUAUGCAGGGACUAAAGAGAAGUAGACCACUGCAGAAAAGAGAAGUUGACCUGCGCGUGGAAAAUGUAGCAAGAGUUACUGCAUUAGCUGUAGGGACAUACUUCUUACCACUGCCUUCGGGCUUAGUAUUAGCAUUAGAAAAUUGCUAUUUUGUUCCCACCAUUACUAAAAACAUUAUUUCUAUUUCGUGUUUGGACAUGAAUAGUUUUUCAAUUGAUGUUAAGAACAAUCGUUGUUCAUUUUAUAAAGAUGAGAUCUUUUAUGUUGUGGUGUGUUGCAAAAUGGAAUUUAUAUUCUUAAUACUGAGUCGUCUAUUAUGAAUAUAGAAAAUAAAAGGUAUAAAAGUGAUAAUCUAAAUAAUACAUAUCUCUGACAUUGCAGAUUGGGUCAUAUUAACGACAAACGCAUUUCUAAGUUACAUAAAGAUGGAUACUUGGGGUCAACUAAUUUUGAAUCAUUUGACAAAUGCGAGUCGUGCCUGUUAGGCAAAAUGACCAAGUUUCCUUUUACUGGAAAAGGAGAAAGAACCACAGAAUUGCUGGGACUAAUACAUACUGAUGUAUGUGGACCCAUGUCAAUAACUGCCAGAGGUGUUUUCUCUUACUUCAUUACAUUCACUGAUAAUCAUUCUAGAUAUGUUUAUGUGUGUAUGAUGAAAUUCAAGCAUGAAGCACUUGAAAAGUUCAAGAAAUUCAAACUUGAAGUAUAGAAACAGACUAGUAAAAAUAUUCUCAUGCUGAGAUCAGAUCGAGGUAGAGAAUAUUUAAAGUGAGAAUUUUUAGAUUAUCUUAAAGAGAAUGGGAUUCUCUCGUAGUGGACUCUGCCAUAUACACCGCAACAUAAUGGUGUAUCUGAACGGAGGAAUCGCACUUUGUUAGACAUGGUGCGAUCUAUAAUGAGCCAUGCAAACAUCCCAAAAUCAUUUUGGGGUCAUACACUAAUUGCUGUGUGCUACACAUUUAAUCGUAUCCCAUCUAAACCAGUCCACAAAACUCCAUACGAGCUAUGGAGAGGAAAAAGACCAAACUUAUCUCAUAUGAAAGUUUGGAGCUGUGACGCUUAUGUAAAGCAAAAUGAAUCAGAUAAGCUUGAGGCUAAAUCUGACAAAUGCGUAUUUGUGGGAUAUCCAAAAGAGAUAAUUGGAUAUCAGUUUUAUAAUCCCGUUGAGAAAAAGGUGUUCAUCUCAAGGCAUGCCAUAUUCCUAGAGAAAGAGUUUAUUCUAGUAGAGGGUAGCGGGAGCAAACUAGAACUUGAAGAAGUUCAAGAAUUCAUAGAUACUGUUGACCAAUUAGAUGAACCUGAGUCUGAUCCUACACCUGUUGACGAACAGACUCUUGAUCAGGAUGUAGAGAACUCUGAGGACACUCCAGCUCAGCGUAAAUCAAGUAGGAUCAUUCGAUCUCCCAGAAGGUACGGAUUCACCAUUACUAAUAAAGUAUUAUUAUUCGAGGAUGAUGAACUUACAAAUUACGCAGAAGCGAAGUCAAGUGUUGACUCGAAGAGAUGGCAAGAAGCCAUGGAAUCCGAAAUUAACUCAAUGUAUGAGAACAAUAUUUGGGCCUUGGUUGACCUUCCAGGUGGGAUAAAAUCGAUAGGUUGUAAAUGGGUUUACAAGAAAAAGGUCGAUGUAGAUGGAAACGUCCAUACAUACAAAGCAACGCUAGUAGCGAAGGGUUACACACAAAGACAAGGUGUUGACUUUGAUGAAACUUUUUCGUCUGUAGCCAUGCUAAAGUCCAUUCGGAUUUUGCUUGCAAUAGCUACAUACCAUGAUUAUGAGAUAUGACAAAUGGAUAUCAAAACUGCUUUCCUUAAUGGAAACUUACAAGAGGAGGUGUACAUGACACAGCCUGAAAGUUUUGAAUCCAAAGGAGCCAACAAAGUAUGUAAGCUAAAUCAAUCCAUUUAUGGAUUAAAGCAAGUCUCAGGAGUUGGAAUCUUCGUUUUGAUGAAACAAUCAAAAGAUUUGAUUUUAUCAAAAAUGAAGAUGAACCGUGUGUUUACAAGAAGACAAGUGGGAGCGCGGUCGUAUUCCUAAUAUUAUAUGUCGAUGACAUAUUAUUAAUGGGAAACGACAUCUCAAUGCUUCAAUCGGUAAAAUUAUGGUUGUCAAAGAAUUUCUCCAUGAAAGAUAUGGAAGAAGCAGCGUAUAUCUUGGGAAUCAAGAUCUAUAGAGAUAGAUCUAAAAGAUUACUAGGCUUAUCCCAAUCUUCGUACAUAGAUAAAAUCUUGAGAAGAUUUAAUAUGGAAGAGUCUAAAAGAGGUUUAUGUCCCAUGUCGCAUGGGAUUUACCUCUCAAAAGAUAUGUGUCUUAAAACACAUGAUGAAAGGAGUCACAUGGAUAAGAUUCCUUAUGCUUCGGCGAUAGGAUCUAUCAUGUAUGCGAUGCUAUGUACGAGACCAGAUGUUUCAUAUGCUCUAAGUGUUACGAGCAAGUUUCAAGGAAACCCUGGUGAGAAACACUGGAUAGCAGUUAAGAACAUUCUUAAGUAUUUGAGAAGGACUAAAGAUGUGUUCUUGAUCUAUGGAGGAAAUGAACUAAAAAUUCAUGGGUAUACUGAUGCCAGCUUUCAAACUGACAAAGAUGAUAGCAAGUCUCAAUUAGGAUAUAUGUUUACUCUCAACAAUGGAGCGGUUACUUGGAAAAGUUCCAAACAGGAGACAACCUCUAAUUCAACAACAGAAGCCGAGUACAUUGCUGCUUCUGAAGCAACGAAGGGAACUGUCUAGAUUAAGAAGUUCAUUAAUCAACUUGGAGUCGUUCCUAGUAUUGUUGAUCCCAUACCUUUGUAUAGUGAUAACAAUGGAGCCAUCGCACAAGCAAAGGAACCGAGGUCUCAUCAACGAUCCAAACAUGUGCUAAGGCGAUAUCAUCUCAUCAAGGAGAUUAUACAAACAAAUGACAUAACGAUAGAGCGAGUUCCGACAGAAGACGAUAUUGUAGAUCCACUGACAAAGCCAUUGUCACAACAAAAACAUGAUCAUUAUGUGGACGCUUAUGGUAUUAGAUACAUGAAUGAUUGGAUCUAGUGCAAGUGAGAGUUUGUAAGUGUUAUGCCCUAGAUCUAAUCUAUGUAGGUUGUAAACACUUUUAAUAUGUUUAAUGCAUUUAAUUUUGGCGAGAUCUAUUAUUUAUUUAAAUUAAUUUUGUGAUAAAUAAUAGAAUCCGAAGAUCCAAGUUUAAGUGAUUUGUUAAUCACAAAGAGUUGUGAUUGUGAGAUACAAAUUACAUAUAAUUGGAUUUUGAAUAAACCGUGGUCGUAAGUAAUAACGAGAUACGGAUAUCGUUAAUACAGUUAGACCAUCACGUGUGGCAUUUCUUACUUGUGAAGUAAGUAGCUGAUCUCACGAGUUAAAGUGUGGUGACAAUUAAAUGAACACGUGGAUGUUUUGUCAUAGAACAAAACAUUGGAGACCCGCUGAGAGAUUCCACAUGGAUAACUAUCUGAGUGCCAGUGGUUAAUCUCUAACGUUCGAUAGUGGAAUUGGUCCUAUAACUUGAGGUCAUCAUAGUGCUUUGUAUGAGGGCAGUCAUACUUUGACGGUGUUGAAUGUUGCUCUGCCAAUGGCCGCUAAUACGACAUCGUUCGGGUAUGUCAAGAACCAUAUGAAGGUUGUGAAUGACCAAUAGAGGAUUCGUCACUCUUAGAUAGUAAGAGAUUAUGAUCUGCAUUUCGUUCAAUUAAGUCAAUAACGAAAUCCUUGGCCAAGGUAUACAUAUAAGUCGAAAAUGAGUUUUCGACUCAUAUUGACUUAAUAGUAGAAUGAAAGAUAUGAUCGAUAAUCGAGAUUGACACACUUCCAUAUCUCGUAGUUGAUCGGAUCAUAUUGACGAAGGGAUUAUAAUUUCAUGGUAAACGAACAGUUUUGGUUUUGUCAUACCACGUGACAUUUCCCAUUACAUGUGUUGCCCUGAUACAUUGUUAGAUGUUAAUCUGGGACGGCGAGUGUGAAUUUGUGAUAAAUUAAAAGGGUGUUUAAUUUAUCAAUUUUGAUUAAAUCAAAAUAAUAUUUCACGUCGUUAGGCAUCGUGGUCGGGAACCUAAUGGAUUGCACACAAAGGAGAAUUGGAAGAUUGUAAAUUGCCAAUUGAUUAAUUUAACAAUCGUUGGAUAAAUUAAUUAAUUGAAUUUGUUAUUUAUAUUCUCGAAUUAAUUAAUUGGAUUAAUUAAUUCACGGACCGGUUUAAUUAAAUGGAUUAAUUAAACAUUGGACCGGAUCGGAUCGAGCCCGUUUGGGUUUAUAUAAAUACAUGACUAGGGUUUGAGGUCCAUAAGGUUUUCAUUAUUCUUGCUGGCACAAGAGGAAAAACCCUACCAGUUGCAGUCUAUUCUCUGUGUGGAUUUCAUUGGAGGCUGAACAAUUGGACAGUUGUGGGAGGCAGAUUCAAGCUGUUGGAAAGGAAUAACGCGAAGGAGUUUGCAAAAUCAAGAACAGGUAUAUUUCUUAUCACAGUUCUUAUCUAAAUACAAAGUUGAAUCCUGAAUGGGAAUUGAAAUUUGUUUAAUUCCGCUGUGCAUGUUUAAAUAAAUUCCCAACAAUUUUUAUAUACAUUUAAUUAAGUAAAUAAAAAAUAUACUUAAAAUGUAUGUAUAUAAAACACAAAUAUGCGGUGUAACAAAAGAUUUGUGUGGUGGCAAUAUAUUCAUCCAUAGUUAAAACAAUCAAGGAAGAGGUUCGAAUAGGUUUUCAUCAAUUUCAAAUUUUAUGCCGAAGGAUAUUCAUUUCAAAUUAAUUUAAACCUUAAUUCGGACUUAGGAGUGAUUUCAAACCAGAAGUAUUGCAUAGAAUUUGAUUGGAUAAGCAUGCUGAUUGUUCUUAAUUGAUUUUAAGAGAAUUUUAAAAAGUUAAUGUUAUUUGACCAGUUAGUCAAGCCGAAUAAAACAUUCGUUAAACCUAAACUAAUUAAGAUUAGAAACGACGAAUUUAACAUGGUAAACUCAGUCUUACAGACUAGAAAUAAAAAUCACAGCAUCUCUUUGAAAAUUGAUUAGGAGAAACUCAGAAGAAACAAGAAUAAAUAUUCGAGUUAUAUUAAUCAUAAUAUAUAUGUUUGGCUGAGAUCAAAAAGUUUACUUGUAAGUAUGUAUUUUUGUUAAAAUUAUUUUCGCUUAAUUUGGUUAUACUUGCAAAUAUGUAAUUUCAAUGUCUGGAUAAUGAAAUAAAACGUUAUUUCAAGGAGAGCAUAUUUUUAUUUAAAAAUAUGUUAAAGAAAAGUUUAGAGAUAAAAGUAAACUUAACUUCAUAAUGAGAAAAUUCAGAACUGAUCCAGUUUCUGGCAUUCAGAGAUAUUGACAUCAAAUAAGCUAUUGUAUUAUUUGACUCCAAUAGUUCCUAAUAUUAUAUUAUUUGUAAUGGUAUUAUUCAAGUAUUAAAUAUUCAAUUUGGAUUCUGGGAACCCUACAAAUUGGACUAUGUUGAUAGAAAAAAGCUAAGAUGCAUCCUGAGAAAUAAUAAUUUUUUUCUUAUUCAUGGCCUUUGAAUGAAAGGCAAUAGAAUGCAUAGAUUUUGCAAAUGGAAUGGAUAGUCAAUAAUGGCGUACUAUGUUAUAGAUAACGCCAAUAUGCAAUAACAUGAUGAUAGAACUUAAACCACUUGUUAUGAAUAUUAAAGACAAGAAAUAUGGGCCCCAGGGCACAUUUUCAAGUGGUAAAAGGGGAGAGUGGAGAAAUCCAAUUUUGCUUGAGGUUGUUGCGUCAAGGGUUCGAAUCCUGAAAUAUGGAUUUGGCUCUUGGGUAAGUGCAAGUGUACAAGCAGCCUUUCACCCUUUACCCUUGGAGGCAUAACCUGCGAUUUACCUCCCUCACGAUACUCCAGGACAGGGGUGGUGGGGGACCCUUAAAGUUAGGGUUUAACCUUUUAAAGACAAGAAAUAUGGACAACAUAAAAAUAAUGAAUCACAUAAGAUUUAUGCACAAACCCAAAUUCGGGAAUACCACGAGCAGAGAGAUGAAAAAUUUACUAUAAUCAAUAGCAAUGAAAUACAAAAGGAGGUCCAUGUGACAAAUUAAAAUUUUCUCAAAUAAACAUAAAAAAAAAAAAUGAAACAGCUUCAUGAUGGGCUCUAAAGAAAUUCUAGACAUGGCUAAAAGUUCUCAUGUUCAAAUAUAUUCACAUCAAUUAGGCCGGCUGUGGGGUAUUGUAUUUAAAUCUAAACUAGUAGAUAUAAAUGUAGAAGCUGUACAAUUUUGAUGAUUAAAGCUCCAACGAGACAGUCCACUAAAAAUAUUUUCUUAUUCAUAGCAGACUUGGGAAAAUAGCAAAAGAAUAAAUUGAUUAUAAACAGAAAAUGUAUCGUCAAUAAUGGCGUGCUAAAAUAUUAAAUUUUAAACUGUAGUUUAGCUAUAAUAUUAAAAUGAUGUUAUCCACAACACCACCGCUAUAUGUACCAUGUUCAGCUUCUGUAUUCUGCACAGCUCUACACUUCUUUUCUGUUGUAAUUCACUCCAAGUUUUCAACGAGUCUUCAUAGGUUAUACUAUUCAAGGUAAAUAUGGGUAUCUCCAACUAUUUCCAUGAACUCAAAACUAAUGUUUCUCCCAAGAGGCUGUUCAAGGCUUUGAUCACCGAUAACCACGAUGUUUUGCCGAAAGUCUCCCCAUCCAUCAAGAGCAUUGAGACAAUUGAAGGAGAUGGUGGUGCUGGAAGUGUCAAAAAGACAAACUUUUCUGAAUCUGAAGGUUAGUCCAAAUAUUAAAAUCGCGAAAAAAGAAUGAGAACGUAAUAUUUUGUACAUAUGCAGUACUAUUGAUUAUAGCAAUAGAAUAAAUUGAUUUCCAGAUUUAUUAGAAAGAACUGUACUCAACAAAAUUGAACAGAGCACGUACCUUUGUGAUUUUGGAAGUUUAGAACAUGCAGCAAAAUGAUUAGAACGUUGGAUACAAAGUAAUGAAGAUGUCAGGCUCUUCAGACCAUAUUAUUAUUAUUUUGAAACCUCAGACCACAUUAUUAUACUAUCAAAUGCUCGAUUAGGAAUGAAAAAAAUUUGCACCCUGCGCUGCCUGCAUAGUCCUGCAGUAGAAAAUUCGCGCCCCAAAUGGUAAACGGGACAAAAAAUAGGAAACAUGGUCCCCAUCCCAAAAACUUUUUAUGAAAUUGUUUCAACCAUCGCAUUUCAAUUUAUAAUGUUACAAAGUCUCCUUGCUUUCUCAUUCUCCUUUUAAUAUCCGAAAUAUAGAAUAAAAUAGGCACAAAAUAUAAGAGUCUAUAUUCGACUAAAAAAUUUCAGUUUCUGCAAAGGGAUGUGAAAUUUAAUACUGACAUAGUAACAACUUCUAAAAAAAAGGAAAAUAUUGAAAUAAUUCUACUCAAAAGCCCAUUGGUUCUCUCUUCGGAUCUCCUCUUCUUCUUCCGGAGUGAAGUCAUUUAUUAUGUUGAAUAACUUGCGGAUCUCCUCUGGCGUUUUUCCCUUAAUCAUGUCUGCAACAGUUUGGCAAGUAAGAUCCAGAAGACUCUUGAUAUUCAGAUAGUUUGCAGCCUGAAAAAUCAGAUGGUGAAAAGGAUUAGUUAAUGCCAUGAGAAGCAGUAAUUCGGAUUUGGUGUAAUAGAAUUCAACGAUAGUACAUAACACGCAAUUCAUAACCAAAUCUAUGCAAUUCUGUAAAAUUAUCACAAACAGCAAUAUCAAUAGCCACAGUUAUAAUAGGCUUAACUAUUGAUAUGAUGAAACCAAUUUCAAUUUAACAAAACCCUAACGCACAAUUCAUAACAGAAUCCAUUUAUAAACCCUAAAAGACCACUUAUAAAAACAUCUACACAUAAUUCUGCGAAAUUAGUACAAAACAGCACUAGCAAUGGCAACAACAACAAUGAUAAAAGCAAUUCUCGACAUGAUCAAACCAAUUUCAGCCUAGUAAAGCCCUGACGCACAAUUCACAACGGAAUCCACCAUAAUCCUACAAACGCAGAAUCAACAAGGGAAAAAUCAAAGAGUAUACCAUAAUAAGGUCGAAGAGUAUGGCCUGAUCGACUUUGACAAAUUCGGAGUCGAAAGCCUUGAGGUCGUUCUCUGCGACCACGUCGUUGGCAUUGGCGGCAGCGGCUUCAGCAUGCUUCUUACAGUAUACAAUGAUCAUGGACAGGAUCUUUCCGGUAACAUUGGGAACUGGGAUGGCGCUAUCGGCGCAGUCGUCCUCGAUCAUAUGUCUGAUGGUCAGAGACUCCAGCGCCACCAACUCCUCCACCUCGAAAACCUCGCCGUCAGAGCUUUUCAGCGUAAUCUUCUUACCCUCGUUCGACAUCGUUUCGCUUUGAGUUGUUGACGUGUUUGGUAAGGCUUAUUAGACGCAAAACGAAAGCGAUAAACAGAGAUGAGUUGAGAUUUGCAGGGUGCGGCGCAAUAUUUAUAGAGAGAGAGGAGAAUAUGGAAAAAGGAAAAUAUUGAAAGCAACGGCUGGGAUUUAUCGUGGAAAGUUGGAAACAAUUUGGAAAUUUUGGAUGCGGCGGUUUGGAUCCAUAGUCAGUGACUAUAAUUAAUUAUUCGUUACUCUAAAAAAUUAUUUUUACUUGAAAAUAAAAAAAAAAAAAAAAAAAAUAGAGACAGAGAACAUAGGCAUAAAACUACUUUUUUUUUUCACACUCGACCAGAUAAAACAUGUCCGAAGUUUUGUUCGUUAUUCAUAAUCUCAUAAGCAUCUACGUUAUAUGCCAGAGGGUUACUUCAAACACAUGAAGACCAGAGUUGACUUUCUAGACAAAGAAAACUACGUGGGCAAGUUCACUUUGGUUGAGGGAGACGCACUUGGUCACGAGCUUGAAAAGGUAUGUUAUGAGAUGAAAUUUGAGGACACAAAAGGAUGGAGGAUGUGUUCUCAAGAUCUCCAGUGAGUAUCAUUCCAAGGGUGAUGUUAUACUUAAAGAAGAGGAUAUUAAAGCAACCUUGGAACAUACCAUGGGACUCUACAAGUCUUGUGCGGAUUACCUGAUUGCCAAUCCUCAUAUUUGUGUCUAAAUAAUUUCCAAUUAUGUUUCUUAUUUUCUAUAUUUCCUUAAUAAAGAACUUUGUUCUACUCUUCCAUUGAAGUUUGUUCUUAUCCAACUGUCAUCAAAAUUUACGGUACAACAUUAAGAUGCAAUUUUAGCAAAGUUCCAGUCUUUGCCUUAAUAAAACAGAUUUGUUUGUUUAUUU